rnacentral:lncRNA from 1 species
GCUGCUCAAGUGUUGACUUCAAAGCCUUGGUGCUUGAUUACAUGUCUAAUGGAAACCUUGAGAAAUGGUUACAUUCUGAAAAUUGUUUCCUUGAUAUCAUACAAAGGGUCGACAUAAUGAUAGAUGUUGCGGUAGCUAUAGAACACCUCCACAAUGGACAUCCAGCACCUAUAAUUCAUUGUGACAUAAAACCAAGCAAUAUUUUACUAGAUGAAGACAUGGUUGCACAUGUUGGAGAUUUUGGCGUUGCCAAAUUGUUGGGAGAAGGUGAAGUAAUGAAGCAAACCAUGACUCUUGCAACUAUCGGGUAUAUGGCACCAGGUGGAUUAUUUUUUAUUUUUGUAUGAUUUUUUUCCGAAUUUCCAUUUUAUAUUUUUGUUUCAUGUGGAUGUGGAUAUAUAUUUGAAUAAGCAUUUUAGAAAUAAUUGAGGAUGAAUGAUGUUCUAAUUAUACUUGAAAUGCAGAAUUUGGAUCAGCAGGAAUUGUUUCUAUAAAAUCUGAUGUCUAUAGUUAUGGGAUCGUCCUUAUGGAAACUUUCACAAAGAAAAAGCCAACUGAUAAUGCUUUUGUUGAAGAAGAGACUAUGAGGCAUUGGAUGGAAAGUUCAUUGCCUAAAGGAGCGAUAGAAAUUGCAGAUGUUGAUUUAUUAAGAAGAGAGGAUGAGUACAUUGUCGUUAAAGCAAAUUGUAUCUCAUGUAUCAUGGAGUUGGCUUUGAAUUGUUCAGCUGAGUUACCAGAAGAAAGAAAAGAUAUGAAAGAUGUUGUGGUUGAGCUGAAGAAAAUCAAACAAAGGUUGCUAAACAACAUCCAACAUUUUUAACAGAGAUGGUGAGUAAUGAGUACACCUAAUUUUAUCUUUAAUUCAACAUUUUUAAUCUAUUCUGGAAUUUUAAUCAUAUAUAUAAUAUGUACUAUUUUUUUUUCUUUUGCUCUCACGUACUAGGCUCUCUUCAAAUUUCAAACUUCUUUUACAAAAUCAAAGUGGAAACGAAUAAAAUGAGCAACAAGCCUUCCCAUGAAUUACGGUUUAUGGUAACUUUUGGACAUCAAGAUAUUUUCUUUGUUAGAUUGGAUUUUCUUAGUUUCUUCUUUCAUUUACAGUAUAAUUUUAUUUUAAUCUUUUGCCGAAGAUUUUAUUAGGGGCGAAGCCAGGAAAUCUUUUUAGGGGGUGAAAUUAAAUUGUAAUUUUUACGAGAAAAUACAAUUUCACCAUUUUUAAUAGCCUAUAUUUUUAUAAUUUUUAAAGGAUUAAUUCAAAGUUUUAUCAUUUUUUGGGGGUCAAAGUACACUUUUACGUUUAUUAAUUUAAAAUUUUAAAAAUUUUAAAGGGCCUAAAUGGAAAAUUUUUCAUUUUCAGGGGGGUCGGGACCCCUGCCAACUCCCCUAGGGACGGCCCUAUUAACAAAGCCCUCAACAAAUGGUAUUGUUCUCAUGUUAGGGUUUUGUCUCUUCAUUCCGCUAAGAGCCCUAUGGGUUCAUGGAGAUGGUUGCAAGGUAAAGGCUACACAUGCAUUGGUUGGUAGUUUGAAUCCCUACGCACAUAUCCUCAAUGAUUAUUCCGCAAAGGCUGGGGAUAAAAUCCCGACAUGGGGACACUACCAUUAGUUGUUGAGGGCAGCACCGAUUGCCUAGCAAACAACACUCAAGAGACUUCUCCUAAAGGAGUCGAUCUCCCUCAACAAAAGUCAAGUACAAGGUCUAUUAUGGGUGAUUGUAGUUUAUCCAAUCGAUGACUGUUUUCAAGUAUUUUCUAACUCUUUCUCUUUAUUUUCUUCUAAAAUUUUCAAUUCAAAGACAAGUAUAACACAAUGGUCUUAAUUGAGCUAGCUUGCCUUGUCAGGUAAUUUGUUGCUUUCCAUUUAUUUAGAGUUAUUUAGAGUGUUUUGUAUUUAAUAUUGUCAUAGUUGAAAGUAUCAUUCAUAAUCUAAUCUAAUUGUGUUUUUGACUAGUGGUUGUUGAUCAAGGAAAACUAAAGGAGGACAACAAGAAGAACGAAACUCCAUAUCUUUACUAUCAUGUUCUACAAAACAAAGAGACUUUUUUCUCGAUGAAAUUUGUAUUGGGCUAUCAAUGUUUCAUGGAUUAUGUUAUUUUUCAAAUGUAAGAGGGGGUUUUGCCAAUAUUGCAUGCAAAAUCAAAGUAAUAUUUGCCAAUGCUUAGCUUAAUCAACUCUAAUGCUGCUGUGGAUUUGAUUUGUCUUUACAGUAUUUAGAGAUUAUUUUGUGAAUGUUAAAUUGCCUUUGGGCCUUUCAAAGGAAUUCAGCAAGCCUACAAGUCAUUUAAUUACCUUUGGACCUCCCAUGAAAUUUUUAUGUAUGAAACAUACAAUAUAUGGCUUGAAUUUCAUAAUUAUAUUAUAUAUAAUGAAUCAUUUGUUUCGUGUUCACCCUCUCCACCAAAAUAACCAUUAACAUCAUCAAAAUCACCCGUAUGAUUCCAAGGUUUCUUGUCUUGUCUAAACAUGUUUUUUUCUUUUAUAUUUUGUUAAUAAAAAAUAUAAAUUUAUUUUAAACUUUCAAAAACUUAUAAUUUAAACCUCUAAAAUAGAAAUUUUUAUUCGUCAAACUUCCACAAAUACAAACCUAUAUAUUAUUGUUAAUCCAAAUCGAAUAUUGGGUUUAGGGUUGAAGCAAAUUUAAAGAGGCAUACAGAGGUAUUGGCCCAACCAAAAUGGGAAAAAAAAUUCUAUUAAGAACCUUUAAAAAAUAAUAAAUUAAUACAUGAUAACUUCUUAAAAUUUUAUAAUUUAAUUCUAAUUCUUCUAUUUUUAUUUUUUUUUAAGAUUCGCCCCUAUUCAAAGCUUCAAGCGUUAUUUGGUUUGGUAGUAUAGCAUGGUUGUUGGAAAAUUAAGUGGAUUAAUUUAUUUCAUAUUUUUCAGUCCCACUCGCAUCUAUGUGAUAGCUCCAGUCUCUACAUGUCCGUGCCACUUACCCACAUGCCCGUGUGGGUUUUGGGGUUUUGAAUUUUUGUCUUCUUAAAUUGGUAUUCUAAUUUGUUUAAGUUACAAUUUAGUCCUUAAUAAUAAAACUUGAAUUAGACAUAGUAACCGUACUCAAAUUAAGCUGAAAAUUUUAGGCUUGCAUAGUUUAACUAAAAAAAGGUUGGUAAACACUUAGAUCUAAAAUCGGGUUAGUUUUACAAUAGGUGGUAAAAUGACGAAAUUACCCUUAGGUUAAAUUACAUAGGAAAAUAUUAAAAUUGGCUCAUAAUUUACUUCUGCAUUAAUAAAUAACUAAUAAUUAAAUAAGAUUGAGGUGUUAUAAGGUUGGGGUGUGUCUCGGGUGGUUGUUAGCUGGAGAAUCACUUAGGUGGCUGAUGUAAUACUUCAAAUUCGAGUCGGUCUAUCUCGAUCGGGUUUGGGGUGCCACAAUCUAUCAUAGGGUUCAUCUCUCUUAAGUAUUUAGAAAAUUAGUUCAUGCUUAAAAAUAAAAAAAAUCCAAAAGGGAGUAUGUAAUAGGCCCAAUUUGCCCGUGCCCAAAAGCACAAACAAAAAAUAAACCAAUUAUAAAAGCAAAUAGAAUUAAAAUACCAGACCUGUGCGUGCAUCACCACCAAGCGCGUGCAACCUUCUCCACACGAGUGCGCCUCCGUCAGUUGUUCCAGGCUGGCCAAGUACCUGCAAAUACACAUAAAAAUAACAGCCGCGAAAUAACAGAAAAGGAGAACGGAUUGGAUUUUUAGAUUUUUAUUUGUAUUAUUAUCUAUUCUGCAAAUUUCGGCUAUAAAAAGCCAGUGGAAUACUGUAAACGGGUUACGCAUACAUAGGAAAAGAAAUCAAAAAAUAAGAUUCAGAGAAAGAAAAGUUUAAAGGUGAUUUUGAAAUCAUACAUUUGUUUCUGUCGUUUUUUUCUCUUUGUUUCCUCGUUCGAGUUCUUUGUUUCUUUGUGAUUGUUUGACUCAUUGUUGUUAAGUAAAAGUGUAGAUUCAAGAAUCAAAAGAAAAGGGGUUACCUAGUUGCGAGAUCCUGGCUCUCUCCAUCGUCAUCGGAUGUUGGGCUGGGAUCGAAAGUCAUUCAAAUGGCCUUUAAGCAAAACGGCGCAGGGAGCCUUUGUUAGUUUAGGUUUCUGUUUUGAAGAAAUGAAUUGUAUUAGGGUUAUUUUGGUUUAUAAGCAGGGUAAUAAACGGCGUCGUUUAAUGCCGAUUUGAUGGCUCUAAAAACGAUGUCGUUUGAAGAGCAAACUCGUGCGGUGACCCGACCAGGGGUGGGAUCCGCGUUCUUUAGUUUAUUGGUCGAUUUGCGCCAUAGGUCCUUGUCAUUUUGGGGAAAUUUUAACAUGAUUUUUCUUUAUUUUUUCAAUCUGUAUAGCAUAUUUGAUUCAGAUUUCAAUUUGGACCCUAGUUAAACGACAUCAUUUUCACUAAUAAAAUCUGAGCAUCUUGCGUUUAAUUACUGAUUCGGUCUCGCAAUAUUGAAUUAGACUUCAAUUUGGUUCAAAUUUAGUUUUCUUUUUCUUUUUUUAAUUUAAUAUUAGAUUUUAAAUUUAAUUAGUCUUGUUUUGACAUAUUAUCAUAAAAAAAUUUAAUGUUAUUCUAAUAUUCAAAUUUGAUAGAGUUUUUGAAAUUUACUAUUAUUAUAAUUUAAAAUAUAAUAAAUUAUUAUUAUUUGUUAUUGAUGUUUUUAAAUUUAUCAUACACUAAUUUUUGAAUCUAUUAUAUUUUAUUUAGUUUUUUCUUUUAUUUCUAAUUUUAUUUGAGCUCCAAUUCUAAAUUCAUUGAUAUUUUUAUAGUCAUUGUUAUCAUUUUCAAAAUUAUUUUCUCAUAUCUAAUUUUGCCUCUAAGUUUUCUUUUAAAAAAUAAAUUAAUUCUUAUCUUAAUUCCUUAUGGUUGACAUUAUUUUAAUAUUUAGCUUGAUAUUGUUUUUAAAUCUUGUUCUUAGUCUAAUUUUAAAAAUACAAUACACUAUUCUUUCAAAUUACUACCAAUAUGUUUUAAUUUAUCAAACAUUAUUUUAAAAAAUUUUCUAUUAUUAUUAUUAUUAUUGUUUUUUUUUUGUCAUGAGGUAUCUCUUAGAAAAUUGAUUAUUUUGUGGGGUGCUUAAUUAUUAACAUUGGUGUUUGUAUAAUAUGACUAAAAUCAUUAUUUUUAUUUGUAUUUACCUAUUACUUGUUUGUCACUUCUUGGUAUGUUUGGGUUGUUAUUUAUCUUUCACAUUAUGUAUUGCUAUUCAAUCAUGUUCCAUUUGUAAGAAUUUUAUUUUAUUAAAGCAUUACAAUCAUUCUAUUUCAUAAUUCCAAAAAAGGGCUUGGUGUUCAUAAGUUCUCGACAGAAUUGUGCCCUAACUUACUGGGCUUCAAUUCUUCUCGAUGAAUUUUGAUAAUCAAGUGUUCAUGUUAUUAAAACCAUACAAUUUUUAAAAUAUGUUUUAAGAUUUCAAAAUGUUGGAUCCUAAAUUACUGGAUAUGGCAUUUUUUUAUCUUGGUUUUAAAAUAAAGGCAAUAUUUGAUGUUUAGGAAUUUCAAGAAAUUGAACCCUAACUCACUGGAUUUUGAUUUCUCGAUUGACCUAAAUAAUCAAAUAUCCUUCUCAAAACCUAUGAAUUUUUAAAAUUAAAAAAAAUGAAUCUAACUUCGAAGAUUGAACUGUUGCACUCUAACUCACUGAGUGUGGCGGUUUAUUUCUUUGAAAUGGGUACAUCUUAUUAUCCAAUUCAAUUAUUUAGGUUUUAUUUCAUGGGAUUGUAUUUAAAAAUCUUUUUCAAGUUUCGACACUACGACAUUAAACAAUCAAUUCGGUACCAAUUUUGGGCGUUACGGGGGUGCUAACCCUUCCUCGUACGUAAUCGACUCCCGAACUCUUCUCAAAAUUCGUAGACCUAAAAUCGUUUUUAACUUGAUCCGAUCACACCUCAAUAAAAGAUUGGUGGCGACUCCCAUUUUCAUUUUCAAAGUCGAUCCCCUUUUUUUCAAAUUUAAAAAUGGUUUCAACAGCUUGGCGACUCCGCUGGGGAUAUUUAGAGAGCCAAGCCGCAAAAUUGAUUGUUUUUUGUCUUAUUGUCAAAAAUUGAAAUUUGAUUUGAAAAAUUACGAUCCUCUCUUUGCACUUGUUUAUAUGAUUACUGUAUUAUAUCUUGGUAUCAUAUUGCAUAAAGACUGUUUAGUCUUACCCUUUUAAGUGGGAGUGAGAAGUUUCUCCUUCGUGAGGUUUUCACCUCCGUGUAGGAUAGUGGAUCACUUUCGGGAGACAUCCGUACCUAUGUCUUCAUGAGAUCUUCAUCUCUGUGCAGCCAUAGGGAAAUGUAUUCCCCUGAACUGAACUUGGUCUGUAUGAGCCUAUAAUGGGUGAGGAUCGAGGAAUCUACUGGUUCGGGUACCUUGACUUUAGAGCCAAACCGCAUGUAGAAGACCUUAGAAACCCAUCCUAGGUAGAGCCACUCCAAACCCCUAGUCCUUACACGACUAGGUAUUCUUUUUGUUUGCUUUUGUUUUGUACUAACCCGUUUUGUUUUGUUUUGAUUAUGUUUGCAUUGCAUUUGCAUCUUAGAAAAGAGAUGUUGAUUCAAGUUCGAUUACUAACUUAGAAAGUUUGUCAUGGAAUACAAAUUUCUUGAUAAAGUGGAAAAUAAUACGGCUUCGUAAAUAUAUUCUGAGAAACACAAGAAGGGUGAUGGAAGAAUUUGUUACUUUACUUCGUGGCCCGAGGAUUCAAGAUGAUUGUCUAAGAGCCUUCGACGUUUCAACUCCCUUAAAGAAGCUAACGAGCCUUAUGAAGAUGGGCAGAUGAUGGAUCGCGACGAGGAUCAAGAAAAGAAGCUAGCAGUGGCAUCUAUUGGAAUUUGGCGAGAUUUAUCUUAAAAAUGCGGAUGAAGGAAAAGAUCGAUGUUAUCUCUUAGAAUAUAAGGGCAAGGCCGUACAUGCAUCUGCUUUAAGUAAAGAAAUUUGCCUUCUAGUAAAGUUUUCUAAAUAUAAUUGAAUCAGAAUCAACGUCUCUUUAGGCAUUCAUUUCAUGCAUUUGCAUUACAUGACAUCAUAUGCAUUAAAAUUCAUUGAAAGAGUCUAAUUGAGUAAAUUUAUUUUAGUUAAUUUGGAACACCAACACUCUUACGGUAUCCAAGCAAAGAUUAGAGAAAUGGAACAAAUGUUGGAGAAAUUAGAGCGAAUGCAAAUACAGAUGCAGGAGCAAUUGACUAAAUUUCAACAGGAAAUGAUAGAUCAGAUGCUAGAAUUACAGAGAACUAUGAUGAGCCAGUUCAACCGAUUGCUAGCUGGAGAGUUAGAAGAGGUGAAAGACUUGGUGGUCCACUUUGGGGUUGAUAAUGAGGAUCUUGCCUAUUCCCCAGAUUGUAUUUUGAUAAGUGUCUAGGUCCAGCUAGAUGGGCGUCCACAAGGGGCACUCUGUACUAUUAGAUCCCAACAAUAUCAGACUGGAACAUUGACACCAAUGAAUUGCCUGACAGGCCCAGGAUUCAAUCUGAGGAACAAUUUAGCUAAUUUAGUUGCUCCCGAUAAUUCAGUCGAAAUAAAGCAGGCGAGGGUAAAGUACCCAGUUACUAUAAAGGCCCCAAGGAAGAAGGGGAAUAAAGGGGAUAAUGCAGGCAAAUAUAACAAGGGCCACUCAAAACCAAUUAUUGUGGGCAGGCCAAAGACAGAAACCAUCAGCCAUCAGAGCUCUUUAAAGUGAAAAUCUUACUCGAAAACGAAUACAGAAAGGCCGCAGUUCAUGCCUGUACCAAUGACGUAUAAAAAGCUAUAUCAAAACCUGUUUGAGGCACAUAUAGUAUCCCCUUUUUACUUGAAACCUCUACAACCACCGUAUCCCAAAUGGUAUGACACAAACGCAUAAUGCGACUACCAUGCGGGAAUUACGAGGCACUCAAUAGAGAAUUGCACUACCUUCAAACAGCUAGUUGAAAGACUCAUCAACAUGGGUGUUGUCAGAUGUGGUAACUCAUCUAGUACAGAAAAUCCACUACCCAAUCACAUUGAUAAUGGGGUGAAUGUAAUAUAUGAAGAGAAAUAGAAAUGUUCACAUUAAUGUCAUUUGUGAAGAAACAACUGAAGAAGGGACCUUGUUAGAUAUCCGCCCUUAUAAAUCUGGGAGUGUUCUAAACAAUUGGAUUGCGGAAGAAAUCCCUGUAGUUUUUAGAGCUUAUUUAGAGUAAUGUUUAGAACAUUUUUGUUAUUUUUAGCCUAAAAAUGAUAGAAAUUACUUUGUGAAAUAGGCUCAUGUCUGAAUGUCAUUAUUCUAAUAAAAUACAUCUUUGCAUUCAUUUUUGAGCCAAUAUUCUUUCAUUCUUUUCGAAUAAUUAUUCUUUCAUUCUUUUGGAUUUUCUUCCAAGUCAUUCUUUCAUUCAUAAUUAUAUUGUACAAAUAAUACAUUUUUUUAUAUAUUCUUUGGUACUUACUAUGGGUCCUCAGAUAUCAAUGACAUGGGUGACGCUGCUACAGACUUAGAAUCUCCUUUUGAGCGAGAUAUGUUUUAGAGGGAUCUCAUGACUUUAAAAAUGACAUAGAUUGUAGCCUAUUUCUGGACUUGUUGAGGAUGGUAGAACAAGAGGAUAGACAGAUCUUACCUCACAAGGAAUCAUUAGAAAUUGUGACCUGGGUGAAGAUAGGAAUUGACAUGACCACAAAGAUGAAGUGAGACCUCAUUGAGUUACUCCGAGAAUUCAAAGAUGUCUUUACAUGGUCAUACCAGGAUAUGCCCGAGUUAAGCACUAACAUUGUGGUAUAUGAUUUUCCUAUAAAGAAGAUUGUAAGCCAGUGCAGCAGAAGCUCAGGAGAAUGAGGCUCAAUAUUGUGCUAAGGAUAAAAGAAAAAGUCAAAAAGCAGUUUGAUGCUGGGUUUUUACAAGCGAUCAAAUAUUCAGAAUGGGUAGCCAACAUCAUGCUAGUCCUUAAAAAAAUGGAAAAUACGAAUGUAUUACAGGGAUUUGAACAAAGCCAGUCCUAAAACUUAUUGCUUUUCAUAAUACGGUAGGCUACUCGCUAUUUUCUUCCAUAGACUACUUCUCUGGAUACAACCAGAUAAAGACGCAUCUUGAGGAUAUGGGAAGGACCACAUUCAUCACUUUAUGGGGAACACUUUAUUAGUAUGGUCAUUCAUGUUAAAGAAUGCAGGGGAUGCCUUUCUCUUUCACUUAUGAUAGCUUUGCCCAUUGAAGUUGAUUGCCUUAUACUUUGUUGGAUUUCAUCCUAGUUGAAAAGGAAUAUCCAAAGUUUUUCAUAGUUAAAAUUUACCCCAAAAGGCUCUAUGAAAGAAAUCUGAUACCAAAGAAGAUUUUUUGCAUACAAGAUGAAUGUGGAAGACUUUAUCGAGGAAAACAUUGAUUCUGAUCAAAAAGGAUAACAACGACUUGCCUAAUCCUAUGAGUUCAGAUUCAAUAAAAAAAACAAAAAAGAAAAAAUCAAAAUCAAAAAUAAAAAAGAAAAAGUCAAAAUUAAAAGAAUCAAUCAAAAUAAAAAUAAAAAGUAUAAAAAUGAUAAAAAAAAGAAAAAGAAAAGGAGAGGCCAAGGCGAAAACCAACUAAGGGUGCUUUGUGACCAAAUGUGGAUUUGAGUUGAAAACCCGAAAAGGGCGACUCAAAUUUUGAGUAAAAUGGGGCUUGGACGUCAUCAUCAUCGAAAGCUUUUAAUGGGCAUUGCUUCACUGUUGAGAUCAUUAAUUACUUCAUCAAAUGGAUAGAGGCUGCUUCAUGCGUCAAUGUCAUCAUAUACUGAUAUAGAAUUCCAGAGAGGAUGGUAUUGGAAAAUGCAUUGAAUUUGAAUAAUAGCACGAUAGCUAAAGUCUGUAAUCAAUUCAAAUCAGACACCAAGGUUCGUCACUGUAUCGCCAAAAAUGAGUUAGGGAAAAUAACUGAGACUUGCAAGGGCUUGCAUGUGCAGUUACCAUUUGCCCUCCUUAUUUUUCGAAUGUUUAUCGGGACUUCAACAGGGGCAACACUGUUUUCUCUGGUUUACAAGACGGAAGUAGUUAUACCUAUUGAAGUAGAAAUCCCUUUUCUCUGGUAUUAGUUGAGCUAAGAGUUGGAUGAAGCAGAAUGAAUCCAAUCUGAUCAGAAGGAAAAGACUAAAAGCUAUUCAGCACAAUCAGAUGUAUCAAAGGAAAAUGAUGCAAGCCUACAACCAAAAGGUUCAUCUCAGAGAAUUCCAUAAGGGGAACCUAAUGUUGAAAAAGAUCAUUCCUAUACAAAAGGAUUUUAGGGGAAAACGGAUGCCAAAGGCCUUUUCCGGAGAAGCUCUGAUCCUGAGUAGGAUGGAUGGUAAAAACUAGCCAAAUCCUAUAAACUCAGAUUCAGUCACGCAUUACUUUGCCUAAAGAAGGAGAAGGGACCAAGGUGAUAACCCACAAAUGGCGCUUUGAUUCCUAAAAAAAAAAGACCAAGGUGAAAACCCGCAAAGGGUGCUUUGGGUCUAAAAAAUCAUAAUAAUAAUAAAGAAAAAAGAAAAAGAAAAUGGAGAGGCCAAUGUGAAAACCCCCAAAUGGUGCCUUGAGACCAAAGGGGAUUUGAGUUGAAAACUUGAAAAGGGCGGCUCAAAUAUUGAUCAGAUUGAGGCAUAUGAUGGUCUUGCUAUACUCGAAUCAACAGGAAAGGGUAGGCGACACCUUGGGGCAUCGACAAAGCAUUGUAGAUCUCCUAAACACAUAUCAAACUCAGAAUGGUCUUCAGAAAGUUUGUACAGAGAAGUUCAAGCUGCAAUAUUUGGGGCACCCAAUUUUUAUACUAUUUAUAUUGAAUUUGUUGUUCUUGGAAUACUUCAUUCUUUUCUAAGAUACACAUUCCCAUUCAAUUUCUUUAUUAUCCUUCUUUACUAAUGUUGAAAAUUUAUUCAUUUCGAGCUUUGCUCAGAACCAACUUUAGUCUUAUCCAUUGUUAUGACCUUUUUUGCAAGCAUGUUGCAUUGGAAUAAUGAUUAAUGGACUAAUAAAACUUUCACAAGGGAAGUUUUACAUAUUACUCUAGAAGUUUCUAAAUAAUACAGGAACCUGAAAUAGGACUAUUGUUUAGAACACACCAAGUUUAAAGGUUGGAAAUCUGAAAAGGAAGAGUCUAAAUUAGGACUUUCUCUUUGGAUUUUGUUGUCAAAAACAUUGACUGAACAAAAUGACAAGAUGUCGUGUUGAUGGCAAAGCUUAAAUAAACAAGCAAGUAAUGAUCACCAGGCAAUAGUAAUAGGUUACCUUGGAGAAGAGAGCCUUCAUUUGCGCAUGAGCUUUUAGUACGACACCCUGGGAAUGGUGUAAGGGACCAGAAAGAUUUAGAUCCUAUGUCCUUGAAUUAUGAUAGAAGAGGAUUGAGGAAAAGCCAUGUAUUCCUACCUUUGGGUUACAGUGAGAGAAAGAUGGUACAAAUUUUGCGUCCUAGUGGAUUGAACUUUGAGGUUUACAGUGGGGGCAAUCUGACUAAGUGUUUCUUUAAAAAUGCUAGCCGAGCAGGAAUGUGUUGUAGCACGUCAAUAAUAAAGUCUUAAUAAAUUUUGAGCAAUGGUAACCUAAGGGAUAAAGAAGGAUCAUUCUAAAAAAAUAGCAUUCUACAUUCAUGAAAACACUAUUCACACAUGUCUAGUUAGGAGCAUUUGAUUCAUUUUGAUCAUGACAUCCUAAUCAUUAGGCAUAAUUAGGUUCAUUAUACAUGUCAUGUUCCCCAGAGAACAGAUUGGUGAAGUUAUAAAUCCUAUCUCCCUGGUCAGAAGUGAAAUAGGUUGAAGAUUGUAAGUCCUAUCUCCCUGGUCAACAGUGGAAUAGGUUGAAGAUUGUGAAUCCUAUCUCCCUGGUCAGCAGUGGAAUAGGUUGAAGAUUGUGAAUCCUAUCUCCCUGGUCAGCAGUGGAAUAGGUUGAAGAUUGUGAAUUCUAUCUCCCUAGGCAAUAGUGGAAUAGAUUGAAAAUUACAGAUCUUAUCUCCCUAAGAAGUAGUGGAACAGAUCGAAGCCCCUAGCCUUGCCUCCCUAGUUUGCAACGGAGCAGGUUGAAAAUAACAGAUCUUGCCUUCCUGUACCGACGGCGAAAUAGAUCGAAGAUAUCAGUCCCAUCUCCCUGGACAGCAGUGGAAUAGGUUGAAGAUUGUAGAUCAUAUCUCCCUAGACAGUAGUGGAAUAGGUCAAAGAUUACAGAUCUUAUCUCCCUAAGUAGUAGUGGAGCAGAUCGAAGACACCGGCCUUGCCUCCCUCGGUUGUAGUAGAGCAGGUUGAAGAUAGUAGAUGUUGCCUUCCUGUACUGAUAGUGAAGCAGAUCAAAGACACUAGCAUUGAUCCCCUGGGUUGCAGCGGAGCAGGUUGAAGAAAGCAGAUCUUACCUUCCUGCAUCGACAGCGAAGCAGAUCGAAGACACCAGCCUUGCCUCCCUGGUUUGUAGUAGCACAGGUUGAAAAUAACAGAUCUUGUCUUCCUAUACUGACGGUAAAGCAGAUCAAAGAUAUCAGUCCUAUCUCCCUGGACAGUAGUGGAAUAGGUUGAAGAUUGUAGAUCAUAUCUCCCUGGACAGCAGUGGAAUAGGUCAAAGAUUACAGAUCUUAUCUCCCUAAGCAGUAGUGGAGUAGAUCGAAGACACCAGCCUUGCCUCCCUUGGUUGCAGUGGAGCAGGUUAAAGAUAGUAGAUCUGGCCUUCCUGCAUCGACAGCGAAGCAGAUCGAAGAUACCAGCCUUGCCUCCCUAGGUUACAGUGGAGUAGGUUGAAGGUAAUAGAUCUUGCCUUCCUGUACUGACAGUGAAGCCGAAGACACUAGCCUUGUCUCCCUGGGUUGCAGCGGAGCAGGUUGAAGAUAGCAGAUCUUGCCUUCCUGUACUGACAGUGAAGCAAAUCAAAGACACUAGCCUUGCCUCCAUAGGUUGCAGCGGAGUAGGUUGAAGAUAGGAGAUCUUGCCUUCCUGCACUGACAGCGAAGCAGAUCGAAAACACCAACCUUGUCUCCCUAGGUUGCUUCGGAGCAUGUUGAAAAUAGCAGAUCUUGCCUUCCUGCACCGACAGCGAAGCAGAUUGAAGACACUAGCCUUGCCUCCCUGGUAGCGGAGCAAGUUGAAGAUAGCAGAUCUUUCCUUCCUGCACCGACAGCGAAGCAGAUUAAAGACACUAGCCUUGCCUCCCUGGGUUGCAGCGGAGCAGGUUGAAGAUAGCAGAUCUUUCCUUCCUACACCGACAAUGAAGCAGAUCGAAGACACCAGCCUUACCUCCCUCAGUUGCAGUGGAGCAGGUUGAAGAUAGCAGAUCUUGCCUUCCUGCAUUGAUAGUGAAGCAGAUCGAAGACACUAGCCUUACCUCCCUCGGUUGCAGUGGAGCAGGUUGAAGAUAGUAGAUCUUGCCUUCCUGCAUUGACAGUGAAGCAGAUCGAAGACACUAGCCUUGCCUCCCUCGGUUGCAGUGGAGCAAGUUGAAGAUAGCAGAUCUUGCCUUCCUGCAUUGGCAAUGAAGCAAAUCAAAGCCAAUAAUUCUAUCUCCCUAAAGUGGCUGCGGAGCGGAUUCAAAUAAUAGAACUUAUCUCUCUAAAGUUGUAGUAGAGUAGAUCGCAUCACGUCUUAUCUCCCUGAAGUUACAACAGAGCAAACUAAGAAAGUAAGUCUUAUCCCCCUAAAGUUGCAGUGGGGCAGACUGAGAAUAGCAAAUCCUACUUCCCUAGCGGUGUAAUGGAAUAGAUUGAAGCUAUAAUAGCAAAUCUUGUUUCCCCGACAUCAAAGUUAAGCAGAUUAAAGUUACGAGUUACAAAUCCUAUUUCCCCGAUGUUGUGGUAGAGUGAUUGAGGCACCAAUUCCUAUACCUCUGAAUAUGCAGUAGGAUGGAAUGGGGCUACUUGAAGAAGAAGAGCACCAAGGUCCAAGCACGACCAAGCAGUAUGGAUGAAACAUACAAUAUAUGGCUUGAAUUUCAUAAUUAUAUUAUAUACAAUGAAUCAUUUGUUUCGUUUUCACCCUCUCCACCAAAAUCACCCGUAUGAUCCCAAGGUUUCUUGUCUUGUCUAAACAUGUUUUUUUUCCUUUUAUAUUUUGUUAAUUAAAAAGACAAAUUUAUUUUAAACUUUCAAAAAUUUAUAAUUUAAAAAUUUAUAAUUUAAACCUCUAACAUAGAAAUUUUUAUUCGUCAAACUUCCACAAACACAAACCUAUAUAUUGUUGUUAAUCCAAAUCGAAUAUUGGGUUUAGGGUUGAAGCAAAUUUAAAGAGGCAGACAGAGGUACUGGCCCAACCAAAAUGGGAAAAAAAAUUCUAUUAAGACCCUUUAAAAAAUAAUAAAUUAAUACAUGAUAACUUCUUAAAAUUUUAUAAUAUAAUUCUAAUUCUUCUAAUUUUUUAAAGAUUCGCUCCUAUUCAAAGCUUCAAGCGUUAUUUGGUUUGGUAGUAUAGCAUGGUUGUUGGAAAAUUAAGUGGAUUAAUUUAUUUCAUAUUUUUCAGUCCCACUCGCCUCUAUGUGAUAGCUCCAGUGUCCACAUGCCCGUGCCACUUAUCCACAUGCCAGUGUGGAUUUUGGAGUUUUGAAUUUUUAUCUUUUUAAAUUGGUAUUCUAAUUUGUUUAAGUUACAAUUUAGUCCUUAAUAAUAAAACUUGAAUUAGACAUAGUAAACGUACUCAAAUUAAGCUAAAUAUUUUACGCUUGAAUAGUUUAACUAAAAGAAAGUUGGUAAACACUUAGAUCUAAAAUCGGGUUAGUUUUACAAUAGGUGGUAAAAUGACGAAAUUACCCUUACAUUAAAUUACCUAGGAAAAUAUUAAAUUGGAUCAUAAUUUACUUCUGCAUUAAUAAAUAACUAAUGAUUAAAUAAGAUUAAGGUGUUAUAAGGUUGGGGUGUGUCUCGGGUGGUCGUUAGCUGGAGAAUCACUUAGGUGGUUGAUGUAAUGCUUCGAAUUUGGGUCGGUCUAUCUCGAUUGGGUUUGGGGGUGCCACAAUCUAUCAUAGGGUUCAUCUCUCUUAAGUAUUUAAAAAAUUAGUUCAUGCUUAAAAAUAAAAAAAUCCAAAAUGUAGUAUGUAAUAGGCCCAAUUUGCCCGGGCCCAAAACCACAAACAAAAAAUAAACCAAUUAUAAAGGCAAAUAGAAUUAAAAUACCAUUAUUGAACAGUCCAGUUUUUUUACAAACAUUAAGUCCAAAUAAUGUAGCCCAAUACCAUAACCCGAUUACAAUAAAACCUAACCCAAUAUAAUAAGCCUAAUUUCUAAAUACCAAGACCCAAAAUACCAAAACUUGAAAAAUACUAGACCCGACAGAUCCUAAACUCGGGUCUUCCAAGGCCUAGAUCUCUGCCCGAACCAAUGGAGUACCCUAGAAGCUUCUAGGUUUUCACUGGCACCGCAAUAGUAGAUCCAGACCCGCGCGUGCAUCACCACCAAGCGCGUGCAAUCUUCUCCACGUGAGUGUGCCUCCGUUAGUUGUUCCAGGCUGGCCGAGUACCUGCAAAUACACAUGAAAACAAUAGUAGCGAAAUAACAGAAAUGGAGAAAGGAUUGGAUUUUUAGAUUUUUAUUUGUAUUAUUAUUUAUUCUGCAAAUUUCGGCUAUAAAAAGCCAGUGGAAUACUGUAAACGGGUUACGCACACAUAGCAAAAGAAAUAAAAAAAGAUUCAGAGAAAAGAAAAGUUUAAAGGUGAUUUUGAAAUCAUACCUUUGUUUCUGUCGUUUUCUUUUUCUCUUUGUUUCCUCGUUCGAGUUCUUUGUUUCUUUGUGAUUGUUUGACUCAUUGUUGUUAAGUAAAAGAGUAGAUUCAGGAAUCAAAAGAAAAGGGGUUACCUGGUUGUGAGAUCCUGGCUCUCUCCGUCGUCAUCGGAGGUUGGGCUGGGAUCUGAAGUCAUCCGAAUGGCCUUUAAGUAAAACGGCGCAGGGAGCCUUUGUUAGUUUAGGUUUCUAUUUUAAAGAAAUGAAUUGUAUUAGGGUUAUUUUGGUUUAUAAGCAAGGUAAUAAACGAUGUCGUUUAAUGCCGAUUUGAUGGCUUUGAAAACGACGUCGUUUGAAGACCAAAACUCGUGUGGUGACCCGACCAGGGAUGGGAUCCGCGUUCUUUCGUUUAUUGGUCGAUUUGCGCCAUAGGUCUCUGUCAUUUUAGGGAAAUUUUAACUUGAUUUUUCUUUAGUUUUUCAAUCUGUACAACAUAUUUGAUUCAGAUUUCAAUUCGGACCCUAGUUAAACGACAUCGUUUUCACUAAUAAAAUCUGAGCAUCCUGACUUUUGCGUUUAAUUACUGAUUCGGUCCCACAAUAUUGAAUUAGACUUAAAUUUGGUUCAAAUUUGGUUUUCUUUUUCUUUUUUUAAUUUAAUAUUAGAUUUUAAAUAUAAUUAGUCUUGUUUUGACAUAUUAUCAUAAAAAAAUUUAAUGUUAUUCUAAUAUUCAAAUUUGAUAGAGUUUUUGAAAUUUACUAUUAUUAUAAUUUAAAAUAAAAUAAAUUAUUAUUAUUUGUUAUUGAUGUUUUUAAAUUUAUCAUACACUAAUAUUUUGAAUCUAUUAUAUUUUAUUUAGUUUUUUUCUUUUAUUUCUAAUUUUAUUUGAGCUCCAGUUCUAAAAUUCAUUGAUAUUUUUAUAGUCAUUGUUAUCAUUUUCAAAAUUAUUUUCUCAUAUCUAAUUUUGCCUCUGAAAGUUUUCUUUUCAAAAAAAAUUAAUUCUUAUCUUAAUUUAUUAUGGUUGACAUUAUUUUAAUAUUUAGCUUACAAUACACUAUUCUUUCAAAUUAUUAUCAAUAUGUUUUAAUUUAUCAAACAUUAUUUUAAAAAAUUUUCUAUUAUUAUUAUUAUUGUUUUUUUUUCAUGAGGUAUCUCUUAGAAAAUUGAUUAUUUUGUGGGGUGCUUAAUUAUUAACAUUGGUGUUUGUAUAAUAUGACUAAAAUCAUUAUUGUUAUUUGUAUUUACCUAUUACUUGUUUGUCACUUCUUGGUAUGUUUGGGUUGUUAUUUAUCUUUUACAUUAUGUAUUGCUGUUCAAUCAUGUUCCAUUUGUAAGAAUUGUAUUUUAUUAAAGCGUUACAAUCAUUCUAUUUCAUAAUUCCAAAAAAGGGCUUAGUGUUCAUAAGUUCUCGAGAGAAUUGUGCCCUAACUUACUGGGCUUCAAUCCUUCUCGAUGAAUUUUGAUAAUCAAGUGUUCAUUUUAUUAAAACCAUACAUUUUUAAAAUAAGUUUUAAGAUUUCAAAAUGAUGGAUCCUAACUUACUGGAUAUGUCAUUUUGUUAUCUUGACUUUAAAAUAAAGGCAAUAUUUGAUGUUUAGGAAUUUCGAGAAAUUGAACCCUAACUCACUGGAUUUUGAUUUCUCGAUUGACCUAAAUAAUCAAAUAUCCUUCUCAAAACCUAUGAAUUUUUAAAAUUAAAAAAAAAUGAAUCUAACUUUGAAGAUUAAACUGUUGCACUCUAACUCAUUGAGUGUGGCGGUUCAUUUUCAAAGUCGAUCCCCGUUUUUUUCAAAUUUAAAAAUGGUUUCAACAUAGUAUAAUCGAAUGAAAUAAAGAAACUCAUGAUAAUCUCCUAAGAAAUCAACUGCGAAUCUUCAAUCUUGAUGAAAAUUUACUUCAGAGUCAGCUUCAAUAGUGUCUUUGUAGUUGCUUUCUUAAAUAUUCUAGGAAGGUUCUCUCCUAUCUUCUUAUGUUUUUCAUAUAUACAUCUUAAAAUGCUCAAAAAAACCUAAAAUUCACAUUUUUUCACAAUUCAAAGCGAAAAUCUAUGAAAUUGACACGACUUGCCACAUGACCAUGUGGGUCAUAUAGUUUGCCCCUAUUUUUGCUCAUUUUCCUUCCAAAUGUUCUAUUAAGAAUAAAAACACGAAUUGAAAGGAUUAGGAGCAUAAAAUUCAUAAUUAACAUUGAAUAAGCAACCCAAAACACAUUAAGAAUGAUGUUAAAACAUAUUAAUUUUAGCACUUAUCAGAUAUCCCUACACUUAAGCAUUUGUUUGUCCUUAAGCAAAAUUCUCAACCCUUAUUCAAGUUAACCUCCCUCAAUUUAUUAUUUUCACUGACAAUUCCUUAGGAAAAAUCUACAGAUAAUUAUGCACUGGAAAUUGAAACUAGCAUGACACUAAAGAAUAAAAGCAAUCUAAGCAGAAAUUUGUAAAGAACAAAAAACAUGUGCGUCUCCUCUAUCUCAAUAAUUACCUCAAAUUAAAACUCAACAAUAAUCAAUACCCUAACCAAAAUUCACUCAAAGCACUCAAAAUGUUUAAGGUUCAAGUAUUGUGUGCUCAACAGUUGAACGAAAAUUGUGAUUAUCAUAGGCAUGCUUGAAAACCAAAUCUCUACCAGUUUAAAAAAAAAAUUGAGAUGAUGCACAAAUCAAGAGGUCUUUAGAAAGUUGUAACGGGACUUAGCUUAAGGGUACGAAAAAGGUCAAAAAAGUCGAUUACAAUUAAGAGUCGAGUUGAUAAGUUACCUAUAAUUGCCCAAUAUUCGCUCGGCCCAAACACCAAUAACAAACUAGUAUAAAAAUAAAAUAUAUAACAUCAGCCCAUUUUUCAAUGUCCAUUUACAAACAAUGGCCUAAUAGGCCAAACUAACCAAAAACCUAAUGACCUAAUGGCCCAGGACCUAAAGGCAGUUAACAGAAACCCUAGCAGAAAGCAAACCCCCAACGCCACAGCGGCCCCAACUGCUCCGCGUAUACUGCGCCAUGUCCACCAUCUCCAUACACCAGCUGGCCUCCGUACCUGCAAAGAAGACGAAGACAGCACAACAAAACAACAACAAUAGGCCAGCAUAAGAAAAAACAAAAAAAAUAAUAGAAAAAAAAGAAAAAAAGGGAUAACAAUUUUUGUAAUAUUCGGCAAUAUAAAAGCUGAUUGAUUCACUUUUGUAAAGUUUACACAGACGAGAAAGCAAUAUAAAGAUAAAAAAAUUCAAAAAAAAAAAGAAAAUGAACAGAUCAUUUCAGGUGGUGUUUCGACUUCAUUUGAUUCGGAUUAUUUUCUUUCUUUUCGUCUUCUUUGUUUUGUUUUCAUUUUAGAUGCGAAAAAUACAAAAGAAAAAGGGAGGACUCUUACCUUUGUAAACGCAAAGCCGGAGCUCUGUUUACUCCGUCCAAAUCAGAGUUAGAUAGGGUUUAGGUUUGAUGCGACGGUAGGGAGGAGGAGAGUUUAGGUUUCCUGCUGAUGAGUAAAAGAGAAAAUGAAAAUCCUUAAAUUUUAUGGUUUCAAUUAGUUGUAGUGGGGUGUUUAAACGGUGCCGUUUGGGGCCUGUAUUAGUGGCCCCAAAACGGCAUCAUAUUUGUUUAGAUUAUGCGAGACCCGAUGACCCGACCCGAACAGGAUUAGACCCGCGCGUUCUGGGUUCGCAAGGGUUAUUUGCGCAUUUGAUCCCAUGGUCUUAUCCCAUCAUUUCAAUUUCAUUUUCGUUAUUCUUAAAUCUUCCCCGUGUAUUUUAAUUCGUUUGAAUCUUAUCCAGAUCCAAACGCUAUGUCUUGAGGGCGUGGGAUUAUUUCCCUUUUUGGUCCCUUGUAUUACGCGUGUGUUACUAUUUGACCUGGUGGACCUUGUUUAAUUUCGUUUCUUUUCCUUUAAUUUUAGUUUUGACUUCGAUUUAGUCCCUUUUGCAUUUUUUAGUUUACUAUUAAUUAUUAUUACUCUUAUUAUUAUAGAAUACUACAUUUGUUCAUGUUUUUUUUUAAUCUUUAUAUGUACUGUUAUUUUAAGUAAUUAUCAUAUUUUUGUAUUUAAUCCCAAUGUAUUAUUUUCCUUUUUUAAAUGUAUUAUUAUUAGUAUUAUAAAUUUAUUGUGUAUUAUUAUAUUCAGUAUUUAUAUUAUUAUAUAUUAAUAGUUAAUUUCAUCAUGUAUCAUUUUACAUAUUUUACAUGUUAAUCUAAUAUAAUAUUUUUUUUGUGUGAUCUUAUUUAUAAUACCUCUUUUUAAAACCCAUUUAUAUACCCUUGUGUUUUAAAGAUUUAUAAUAUUUUAUGUGCAAUACUAUUAUACAUAUAUUUAGAUAUACAAUUUAUAUUAAACUAUUUUUGUUAUGCAUAUAUGUACAUAUAAUUUAUGUUUUAAAACCCUGUUUUAUUAUAUUUUAUUUAUUUCAGCCUUUAUAUGCAUUAUCAUAUGUAUAUUAUCCUUUAUAUUAAAUCUUUCAUUUCACAUAUCUUUUUUUUUAAUCAAUGUGUAUUAUUUUUCUUCCUCGUUAUUUUAUAUUUAGUGUAAUUUUUUAGAUUGAUAAUUCAUUUAAUUUUUUAUUGUUGUAUGAUGUGAGACGAUUGUUAUUACGCGUAUUUCAUUGCAUGUUUAUAUUAUUUGAUGAUUUAUCGUCCACUAGCAUGUAUCGUAAUUUACGAAUUACCAUCUUGAAUUACGCACUACCAUUCAAUCGCCUUACAUUUGUUUAGAAAAACAUCAAAAUCGUUUUGCAUAAAUCUUCAAGAUACUCGGUAUCCAAGAUUCUCAAGAGAAUUGUGCCCUAACUUACUGGGCUUCAAUUCUCCUUGUUGAAUUUAGAUAACCGAAUAUCCCUUCUUCAAUUUAAACGUAGAAAUUCCAAAAUCAAAGCUUAUCUCAGGAAUUCGAUACGUCGUGUCCUAACGCAUUGGACAUGACAUGUUGUUUUCUUGAGACGAGAAUUUUUCUAAAUAAAAAUAAAGGCAAUAUUCGAUAUUUAGGAAUUUUGUGGAAUCAAACCCUAACUUACUGGGUUUUGAUUUUUUCAUUUGACCCAAAUAAUCGGAUAUCCUUCUCAAAAUGCAUAGGUUUUAAAAGUCAAGAGAUAAACUUAAUUUUGAGGAUUUAAAAUGUUGCACUAUAACUUACUGAGUGUGACAAUUCCUUUCUUUGAAAUAAGUGAGUCUCAUCAUCCAAUUCGUUUUAUUCAAAUUUUCUCUUCAAAGGACCGUAUUUUGAAAUCUUUUCAAAUUCUCGAUGCUAAGGUAUUAAACAAUAAAUUCGGUACCAAUUUUGUUCGUUACGAGUGUGCUAACCCUUUAUCGUGCGUAACCGACUCCUGAACCUAUUUUCUCAAAUCUCGUAGACCAAAAUCAUUUUUAAGGUGAGCCGAUCACACCCCAAUAAAGGAUCGGUGGCGACUCCGAUUUUUAUUUUUUUAGUCGAGAACUAUUUUUUUGUUUUCAAAAAAAGUGGUUUCGACAGCUUAGCGACUCCACUGGGGACCCUUAGAGAGUCAAGCCGCAAAAUUGAUUUUUUUUGUGUUAUUGUCAAAAAUUGAAAAUUUGAUUUGAAAAAUUACGAUCCUCUCUUUGCACAUGUUUGUGUGAUUACUGUAAAUCAAGUUUUAUAUCUUGGCAUCAUAUUGCAUAAAGACUGUUUAGUAUUACCCUUUCAAAUGGGAGUGAGAAGCUACUCCUUCGUGAGGUUUUCACCUCCGUGCAGGAUAGUGGAUCACUUUCAGGAUACAUCCGUACUUAUGUCUUCGUGAGAUCUUCAUCUCCGUGCAGCCAUAGGGAAAUGUAUUCCCCUGAACCGAACUCGAUCUGUAUGAGCCUAUAAUGGGUGAGGAUCGAGGAAUCUGCGGGUUCGGGUACCUUGACUUUAGAGCCAAACCACAUGUAGAAGACCUUAAGAACCCAUCCUAGGUAGAGCCACUCCGAACCCCUAGUGCUUACCCGACUAGGUAUUCUUUUUGUUUGCUUUUAUUUUGUAUUAACCCGUUUUGUUUUGUUUUGUUUUGAUUAUGAUUACAUUACAUUUGCAUCUUAGAGAAGAGGUGUUGAUUCAAGUUCGAUUACUAACUUAGAAAGCUUGUCAUGGAAUAUGGAUUUCUUGAUAAAGUGGAAAAUAAUAGGGUUGCCCGAAUAUAUUCUGAGAAACAGAAGAAGGGUGAUGGAAGAGUUCGUGACUUUACUUCGUGGCCUGAGGAUUUAAGAUGAUUGUCUAAGAGCUUUCGACGUUUCAAUUCCCUUAAAGAAGCUGAUGAGCAUUAUGAGGAUAAGAAAACGAUGGAUCAUGACCAGGAUCAAGAAAAAGAGAGCUAGCAGUGGCAUCUAUUGGAAAUUUGUGGGAUUUAUCUUAAACAUGCGGAUGAAGGAAAAGAUCGUUUUUGUCUCUUGGAAUAUAAGGGCGAGGCCGUACAUGCAUCUGCUUUAUGUAAAGAAAUUGGCCUUCUAGUAAAGUUUUCUAAAUGUAAUUGAAUUAGAAUCAACGUCUCUUUAGGCAUUCAUUUCAUACAUCUGCAUUACAUGACAUCAUAUGUAUUAAAAUCCAUUGGAAGAGUCUAAUUGAGUAAAUUUAUUUCAGCUCCUCUAGAAAACCGACCAACUAAAAACACCCUUACGGUACUCGUCGCAAAACUAAGGAAAUAGAUCAAAGAUUAGAGAAAUUGGAGAAAAUGCAAAAAGAAAUGCAAGACCAGCUAUAGAUGCAAAUGAAUGAGCAGUUGGAAAAAAAUUAACAAGAUAUGACAGAAAUGAUGCAGGAGUCUCAAAACGAUAUGAUGGCUAAGUUAACGCAAUUACUAACUAAUGGAAUAAAUAAGGGGAAGGGCCCUAUGGUUAAUGAUGAAGAAAGAGACAAUGAUGGACCUCUAUAUCUUCCAAGUUUUACUCCUCCGCAUGUGCAAACUCAAGCUGAGGUGCAUCCACGCAGAUCCUCUAUUACGAUUAGGCCUCAUCAGUUUUAGGCUAGUGUUUCAGUGCCGAUGAACUUCCAGGCUGGAUCAAGUUCUAAUCCCGGAGAUAACCCGAUGAAUCUUGCUAUCCCUAAUUUUGAUGAAGUAGCUGAGAAAGAUAAAGCAAUGGAAGAAUUGCCAAAACAGUUUGAGGAAAGGUGGAAAUGGAUUGAAGAGAAAUCCAGGGUAAUAGAAAGCACUAAAAGUUAUCGUGCAAUGGAUGCUAAGGAUCUGAGUUUGGUCCCAGAUUUGGCACUUUCUUAUAAGUUCAAGAUGCCAGAAUUUGAGAAGUAUAAUGGGACCAGUUGCCCUCAAGCCCAUAUCACCAUGUUCUGUAGGAGGAUGACUGGUUAUAUUAACAAUGAUCAGCUAUUAAUACAUUGUUUUUAGGGUAACCUCAAAGAGGCAACAUCUAAAUGGUAUAAUCAAUUGAGCCGAACCAAAAUUAGUUCUUGAAGGGAUUCGACACAGGCUUUUAUGAGGCAGUAUAGUCAUAUAUCAGAAAUGACUCCUGAUAGAAUCACCGUGAAAAAUUUGGAAAAGAAAUCAAAUGAAAGCUUUAGACAGUAUCCACAGAGGUGGAGACAGGUUGCAGUCCAAGUUCAACCGCCACUCCUAGAUAAAUAAAUGACGAUACUUUUCAUCAACAUAUUGAAAGCCCCGUUCAUCACACACAUGUUAGGAAGUGCCACAAAAGGCUUUUCUAACAUAGUCAUGAAUGGUGAGAUGAUUAAGAACGCUAUAAGAACCGGGAAAAUUGAUGCGGAAGAGAGUAAUAAGAGGUCAGCCUCAAGGACAAGAGAAAAUAAGGUGAACAGCACAAGUUACUCUAAAUCAGUUACUGUAAGUCAGCCAAGAAAUGUGGUUGAUAAUCAACAAAAUUCAUCAAGGCGAGAUUUUGGCAUGAAGACUGAGAAGUUCCAGUUUACACCAAUCCCAAUAUCGUAUAGGGAACUGUAUGAAAAUUUGUUUGAUGCACAUGUUGUCUCCCCUUUUCAUGUGAAACCUCUACAACCUCCAUAUCCUAAAUGGUAUGAUACGAAUGCACAAUGUGACUACCAUGCGAGAAUUACGGGGCACCUAAUAGAGAAUUGCACUGCUUUCAAAAAGCAAGUUGAAAGACUCAUCAACAUGGGUAUUAUCAAGCUUGAUGACUCAUCUAGUGCAGAAAGCCCGCUACCCAAUCAUGAUUGAUGAUGGAGUGAAUGCAAUGUAUGAAGAGGUGUUGGGAAACGUUCACAUCAAUCCCAUGCAUGAAGACACAAUUGAAAAGGGUCCUUGUUAGAUAUUUGCCCUUAUCAACUUGGAGGUGUUCUAAGUAAUUGGACUGCGGAAGAAAUCCCUAUAGUAUUUAGAGCUUACUUAGAGUAAUAUUCAGAACGCACUUGUGGUUUUAGCCUAGAAGCAAUAAGAACUUUUUUAUGAAAUAAGCUCAUGUUUGAACGUUGUUAUUUUAAUGAAAUACAUCUUUGCGAUCAUUUUUGAGCAAAUGUUCUUUCAUUCCAUAUGAAUAAUUAUUUUGAUUCUUUCAUUCUUUUGGAAUUUCUUCCACAACAUUCUUUCAUUCAUUCACAAAUAAUUAUUUAUAAAUUCAUACAUUCUUUGUAUUCUUUGACACCUGCAAUAGGUCCCUAGAUAUCAAUGUCAUGAGUGACACUGCUACAGACUUAGAAUUUCCUUUUAAGUGAGACAUGUGUUCAGAAGGAUCUCAUGGCUUUGAAGAUGAUAUAGAUUGUGACCUACCUCCAGACUUGUUGAGGAUGGUAGAACAGGAAGAGAAACAAACUUCACCCUAUGAGGAGACAACAAAAAUUGUGAGCUUGGAGGAGAGAAAAUUAGUAAAAAGUAGAAUGUUCAUAACCGGAGAAACGAAGUAAGACCUUCUUAAAUUACCUCAAGAGUUCAAAGAUGUCUUCGCGUGGUCAUAUCAAGAUAUGCCCGAGUUAAGCAUUGAUAUUAUAAUCUGAACAACAGCAAUGUUAGAAAUUUGUAGUAUGCUCAAGAUUUACAUCAUAAACAAUGCAGUGAAAUUUCUUUUCUGGGGUAAUGCAUUUAUCUUUAACUCAUCAUAGCUUUGCCCAUUGAAAUCGAGUUACCAUUGCUCUGCGUUUUUGUUGGAUCUCAUCCUAAUUGAAGAGGAAGAUCCAAGGUUUUUUGUCAUAAUUAAAAUUUCACCCAGAAGGCUAUAUAAGAGAAACUUGAUACCAAAAAAAGAUCCUUCGUAUACAAGAUGAAAGCAGAAGAUCUUAUGUGGAAGACCUUAUCUAGAAUAACAUUGAUUCUGAUCGAAAGGGAUGACCAGGACUUGUCUAAUCCUAUGAGUGCAGAUUCGAUAAAAAAACAAAAAAAUAAAAACCUCUAUCGGGGUUAUUCCUUUCUCUUUAGCUUAUCACGGUUUUUUCCAUUGAAGUUGAAAUUAUUUCUCUCCGGGUAUUGGCUAAGCUGAAGUAGGAUAAAGAUCCAAUCUCAAUAUGAUCAGUUGAACCUAAUUGAAGGAAAAAGGCUAAAAGCUAUUCACCACGGUCAGAUGUACCAAAAACGAAUGAUGCAAGCUUACAAAAAAGGGUUGUCCCAGAGAAUUCCAUGAGGGAGACCUGAUAUUGAAAAAUAUCCUUCCUCUACCAAAGGAUUUUAGAGGGAAAUGGAUGCCAAAUUCAGAAGAUCCUUAUAUCGUAAAGAAGUAAUUCUCCAAAGGAGCUUUAAUUUUGAGCGAGAUGGAUGGAAAACCUGCUAAAUCUUGUAAACUCAGAUUCAGUCAACAAGUAUUUAACCUGAAAAAAGAGAAAGGAUCAAGGUGAAAACCUACAAAGGGCGUUUUGAGUCCUAAAAAAAUAGAGACCAAUGUGAAAACCCUCAAAGGGCGCUUUGAGUGCAAAAAAUAAAAAAAUAGUAAAGAAAAAAGAAAAAGAAAAUGGAGAGGCAAAGGUGAAAACCCACAAAGAGCGCCUUGAGACCAAAGGGAUUUUAGUUGAAAACCCGAAAAGGGCGGCUCAAAUAUUGAUCAAAAUGGGGCACGAGGUGAUCAGAGCAACUAAAAUUUUGAUCGAAUUAGGGCAUGUGGUGAUCUUGUUAUACCUCAAUCAAUAGGAAAGGGUAGGUGACAUCUUGGGAUAUCGACAGAGUAUUGUAGAUCUCCUAAACACAUGUCAACCUCAGAAGGGUUUUCAGAAAGUUUGUACAGAGAAGUUCAAGCUGCGAUAUCUGGGGCACCUAAUCCUCAUACUAUUUAUACUAAAUUUGUUAUUCUUGGAACACUUCAUUCAUUUCCAAGAUACGCAUUCCCAAUCAAUUUCUUUGUUAUCCUUCUUUACUAUCUUUGAUAAUUUAUUCCUUUCGAGCUUUACUCAGAACCAACUCUAUUCUUAUCCAUUGUUAUGAUGUUUGUGCAAGCAUGUUGAAUUGGAAUAAUGAUUAAUGGACUAAUAAAACUUUCACAAUGGAAGUUUUGCAUAUUACUCUAGAAGUUUCUAAAUAAUACAAGAACCUGAAACAGGACUAUUGUUUAGAACGCACCAAGUUUAAAAGUUAGAAAUCUAAAAAGGAAGAGUCUAAAUUAGGACUUUCUUUUUGGAUUUUGUUGUCAAAAACAUUGAUUGAACAAAAUGACAAGAUGUCGUGUUAACGACAAAGCUUAAAUAAACAAGCAAGUAAUGAUCACCAGGCAAUAGGAGGAGGUUUCCUCGGAGAAGAAAGCCUUCAUUUGUGCAUGAGCCUUAGGUGCGACACCCUGGGAAUGGUGUAAGGUUACCGAUAGAUUUAGAUCUGGUAUCCUUAAAUUGCAAUAGGAAAAGAUUGAGAAAAGGCUAGAUUUCUUCAUUCUUGAGUUACAAUUGGAGAAUGAAGGUACAACUUUUUGCGUCCUAGUAAAUUAAACUUUGAGGUUUACAGUGGGGGGCAACCUGACUAAAUGUUUCUUCAGAAAAGCCAGCCAAGCAAUAAGGCGAUGUAGCAUGUCAGUGAUAAAGCCUUAAUAAACUUCGAACAAUGACAACCUAAGCAAGAUGGUUCUCAAAAAAAUAAAAUUCUACAUUCAUGCAAACACCAUUCACACAUGUCUAGCUAGGAGCAUUUGAUUCAUGUUGAUCAUGACAUUCUAAUCAUUAGGCAUAAUUAGGUUCAUUAUACAGGUCAUGCUCCCCAAAGAACAGAUCAGUAAAGAUAGCAGAUCUUACCUUCCUGUACUAACGGUGAAGCAGAUCGAAGAUACCAGUCCUUUCUCCUUGAGCAACAGUGGAGUAGGUUGAGAAUUAUAGAUCUUAUCUCCCUAAGCAGUAGUGGAUCAGAUCGAAGAUGGCAGACCUUAUCUCCCUAAGCAGUAGUGGAGCAGAUUGAAGCCGGUAAUCCUAUCUCCCUGAAGUUACCGUGGAGCAGAUUAAAAUAAAAGAUCUUAUCUCUCUGAAGUUGCAGUAGAGUAGAUCGCAUCAGGUCUUAUCUCCCUAAAGUGCAGUGAAGCAGACCGAAGAAUUACAGAUCUUAUCUCCCUAAGUAGUAGUGGAGCAGAUCAAAGAUUACAGAUCUUAUCUCCCUAAGCAGUAGUGGAGCAGAUCGAAGACCCCAGCCAUGUCUCCCUGAGCAGCAGUGGAGUAGGUUGAAAAUUACAGAUCUUAUCUCCCUAAGCAGUAAUGGAGCAGAUCAAAGACCCCAGUCUUGUCUCCAUGAGCAGCCGUGGAGUAGGUUGAAAAUUACAGAUCUUAUCUUUCUAAUCAGUAGUGGAGCAGAUCGAAGAUUGCAGAUAUUAUCUUCCUAAGCAGUAGUGGAGCAUAUCAAAGACCCCAGCCUUGUCUCCCUGAGCAGCAGUGGAGUAGGUUGAAAAUUAUAGAUCUUAUCUCCCUAAGCAGUAGUGGAGUAGAUCGAAGAUGGCAGAUCUUAUCUCCCUAAGUAGUAGUGGAGUAGAUCAAAGACCCCAACCUUGUCUCCCUCAGCAGUAGUGGAGUAGGUUGAAAAUUGCAGAUUUUAUCUCCCUAAGCAGUAGUGGAGCAGAUCGAAGACCCUAACCUUGUCUCCCUGAACAGCAGUGGAGUAGGUUAAAAAUUACAGAUCUUAUCUCCCUAAGCAGUAGUGGAGCAGAUCGAAGACCCCAGCCUUGUUUCCCUAAGCAAUAGUGGAGUCAGUUGAAAAUUACAGAUCUUAUCUCCCUAAGCAGUAGUGGAGCAGAUCGAAGACCCCAACCUUGUCUCCUUGAGCAGCAGUGGAGUAGGUUGAAAAUUACAGAUCUUAUCUCCCUAAGCAGUAGUGGAACAGAUCAAAGACCUCAACCUUAUCUCCCUAAGUAGCAAUGGAGUAGGUUAAAAAUAACAUAUCUUGUCUCCCUGAGCAGCUGUGGAGUAGGUUGAAAAUUACAGAUCUUAUCUCUCUAACCAGUAGUGGAGCAGAUCGAAUAUUGCAAAUCUUAUCUCCCUAAGCAGUAGUGGAGCAGAUCGAAGACCCCAGCCUUGUCUCCCUGAGCAGCAGUGGAGUAGGUUGAAAAUUACAGAUCUUAUCUCCCUAAGCAGUAGUGGAGCAGAUCGAAGAUGGCAGAUAUUAUCUCCCUAAGCAGUAGUGGAGCAGAUCAAAGACCCCAGCCUUGUCUCCCUCAGCAGCAGUGGAGUAGGUUGAAAAUUGCAAAUCUUAUCUCCCUAAGCAGUAGUGGAGUAGAUCGAAGACCCCAGCGUUGUUCCCUGAGCAACAGUGGAGUAGGUUAAAAAUUACAGAUCUUAUCUCCCUAAGUAGUAGUGGAGCAGAUCAAAGACCCCAGCCUUGUCUCCCUGAGUAGUAGUGGAGUAGGUUGAAAAUUACAGAUCUUAUCUCCCUAAGCAGUAGUGGAGCAUACCGAAGACCCCAGCCUUAUCUCCCUGAGCAGUAGUGGAGUAGGUUGAAAAUUACAGAUCUUAUCUCCCUAAGCAGUAGUGGAGCAGAUCGAAGACCUCAGGCUUAUCUCCCUGAGCAGCAGUGGAGUAGGUUGAAAAUAACAGAUCUUGUCUUCCUGUACUAGCAGCGAAGUAGAUCGAAGACUCUAGUCUUAUCUCCCUGAAGUUACAGUGAAGCAGAUAGAAGAAACCAAUCCUAUCUCCCUGAAGUUGCAGUGGAGCGGAUUAAAACCACAGAUCUUAUCUUUCUGAAGUUGCAGUAGAGUAGAUCGCAUCCAGUCUUAUCUCCCUGAAGUUGCAGUGAAGAAGACAGAAGAAACUAAUCAUAUCUCCCUGAAGUUACAGUGGUGUGGAUCAAAAUGAUGGAUCUCAUCUCUCGAAAGUUGCAGUAAAGCAGAUCGCAUCAGACUUAUCUUUAAAGUUGCAAUAGAACAAGAUGAAGCUACAAGUCUUAUCUCCCUGAAGUUGCAGUGGAGCAGACUAAAGAUAGCAAAUUCUGUUCUUUUAAGAAACUACAAGGUGCAAAUCCUAUUUCCCUGAUGUCGCAGUGGAGUGGACCGAAGCACCAAUUCCUAUAACUCUGAAGAUGCAAUAGGUUGGAAUGAGGCUACUUGAAGAAGAAGGGCACCAAAGUCCAAGCACGACUGGGCAAAAUUGGUCAUUUCUAAAGUCAUUGCUCCUUUCCCAUUACACAACAACGAGCAAAGAGGGGCAGCUGUAAUUGCCCAAUAUUCGCCCGACCCAAACACCAAUAACAAACCAGUAUAAAAAUAAAAUAUAUAAAAUUAGCCCAUUUUUGAAAGUCCAUUUACAAACAACGGCCUAAUAGCCCAAACUAACCAAAAACCUAACGGCCCAGCACCUAAAGGCAGUUAACAAAAAACCUAGCAGCAAGCAAACCCCCAGCGCUGCAGCAGCCCUAACUCUUCCGUGUAUGCUGUGCCAUGUCCACCAUCUACGUACGCCAGCUGGCCUCCGUACCUGCAAAGAAGACGAAGACAGCACAGCAACACAACAACAAUAGGCCAGCAUAAGAAAAAACAAAAAAAAUAAUAGAAAAAAAAGGGAUAAACGAUUUUUGUAAUAUUCGGCAAUAUAAAAGCCGGUUGAUUCAGGUGGUGUUUCGACUUCGUUUGAUUCGGAUUGUUUUCUUUUCUUUCGUCUUUUUUGUUUUGUUUUCAUUUUAGAUGCGAAAAAUACAAAAGAAAAAUGGAGGACUCUUACCUUUGUAAACGCAACGCCGGAGCUCUGUUUACUCUGUCCACAUCGGAAUUAGAUAGGGUUUAGGUUUGAUGCGACGGCAGGGAGGAGGAGAGUUUAGUUUUCCUGCUGAUGAGUAAAAGAGAAAAUGAAAAUCCUUAGGGUUUCAGUUAGUUGUUGUGUGGUGUUUAAAUGGCGUCGUUUGGGUCCUGUAUCAGUGGCCCCAAAACGGCAUCGUAUUUGUUCAGAUUAUGCGAGACCCGAUGACCCGACCCGAACAGGAUUAGACCCGCGCGUUCUGGGUUCGCAAGGGUUAUUUGCGCAUUUGAUCCCUUGGUCUUAUCCCAUCAUUUCAACUUCAUUUUCGUUAUUCUUAAAUCUUCCCCGUGUAUUUUGAAUUCGUUUGAAUCUUAUCCAGAUCCAAACGCUGCGUCUUGAGGGCGUGGGAUUAUUUCCCUUUUUGGUCCCUUGUAUUACGCGCGUGUUACUAUUUGACCUGGUGGACCUUGUUUAAUUUCGUUUCUUUUCCUUUAAAUUUAGUUUUGACUUUGAUUUAGUCCCUUUUGCAUUUUUUAGUUUACUAUUAAUUAUUAUUACUCUUAUUAUUAUAGAUUACUAUAUUUGUUCAUGUUUUCAUUUAUCUUUAUAUGUACUGUUAUUUUAAGUAAUUAUCAUAUAUUAGUAUUUAAUCCCAAUGUAUUAUUUUCCUUUUUUAAAUGUAUUAUUAUUAGUAUUAUAAAUUUAUUGUGCAUUAUUAUAUUAAGUAUUUAUAUUAUUAUUAUAUAUUAAUAUUUAAUUUCAUCAUGUAUCAUUUUACAUAUUUUCCAUGUUAAUCUAAUAUAAUAUUAUUUUUGUGUGAUCUUAUUUAUAAUACCUCUUUUUAAAACCCAUUUAUAUACCCUUGUGUUUUAAAGAUUUAUAAUAUUUUGUGUGCAAUACUAUUAUACUUAUAUUUAUAUAUACAAUUUAUAUUAAACUAUUUUUGUUAUGCAUAUAUGUACAUAUAAUUUAUGUUUUAAAACCCUGUUUUAUUAUAUUUUAUUUAUUUCAGCCUUUAUAUGCAUUAUCAUAUGUAUAUUAUCCUUUAUAUUAAAUCUUUCAUUUCACAUAUCUUAUUUUUUUAAAAAUCAAUGAGUAUUAUUUUUCUUGCUCGUUAUUUUAUAUUUAGUGCAACUUUUUAGAUUGAUAAUUCAUUUAAUUUUUGAUUGUUGUACGAUGUGAGAUGAUUGUUAUUACUCGUAUUCCAUUGCAUGUUUAUAUUAUUUGAUGAUUUAUCGUCCACUAGCAUGUAUCGUAAUUUAUGAAUUAUCAUUUUGAAUUACGCACCACCAUUCAAUCGCCUUACAUUUGUUUAGAAAAACAUCAAAAUCGUUUUGCAUAAAUCUUCAAGAUACUCGGUAUCCAAGAUUCUCAAGAGAAUUGUGCCCUAACUUACUGGGCUUCAAUUCUCCUUGUUGAAUUUAGAUAACCGAAUAUCCUUUCUUCAAUUUAAAUGUAGAAAUUCCAAAAUCAAAGCUUAUCUCAAGAAUUCGAUACGUCGUGUCCUAACGCAUUGGACAUGACAUGUUGUUUUCUUGAGACGAGAAUUUUUCUAAAUAAAAAAAGGCAAUAUUCGAUAUUUAGGAAUUUUGUGGAAUCAAACCCUAACUUAUUGAGUUUUGAUUUUUUCAUUUGACCCAAAUAAUCGGAUAUCUUCUCAAAAUGCAUAGGUUUUAAAAGUCAAGAGAUAAACUUAAUUUUGAGGAUUUAAAAUGUUGCACUCUAACUUACUGAGUGUGACAAUUCAUUUCUUUGAAAUAAGUAAGUCUCAUCAUCCAAUUCGUUUUAUUCAAAUUUUCUCUUCAAAGGAUCGUAUUUUAAAAUUUUUUCAAAUUCUCGAUGCUAAGGUAUUAAACAAUAAAUUCGGUACCAAUUUUGGGCGUUACGAGGGUGCUAACCCUUCCUCGUGCGUAACCGACUCCCAAACCUGUUUUCUCAAAUCUCGUAGACCAAAAUCGUUUUUAAGGUGAGCCGAUCACACCCCAAUAAAGGAUCGGUGGCGACUCUGAUUUUUAUUUUUUUAGUCGACAACUAUUUUUUUUUGUUUUCAAAAAAAGUGGUUUCGACAUUACCAAACCACAAAAAAAUCUAUAAAUGUUAUUAAAAAUACAAAAAAAAUAAUUUUUAAAAUAUUUUUGCAAUUUUAUGUAAUCUUAAAGAGUUAGGACCAAAUUAACAAAAGCUAUAAAUGUUUAAGGAUAAAAAAAAAACGCUAUAAAUGUUAUUAAAUUAGGUGUAGUUUGAGGACUAUAACCCUACUAUCUAGUUUUUAUAUAUUAAUCUUAAUUCCGAAUUACCCUAUCAUCAGUUAGAAAUGGUUUCUAGAAUAUUUACACAUAUUUAACUUAUACUUUAUUUAAUAGUUGAAGUUCAAUAAACAUAUUAAAUUACUUUAAAUUUAAACUAAUCUUUUAUGAAAAUAAAUAAUCGUACAUAAUUUGUCUUAUUAUAUAUGCGAUGUUUGCGGAUUCGUUAAUUUUAAUAAAGGGUAAUCAGUUUUCAACUUAUCCCUUUUUCUUUUAGUUUCUAACAAAAUCAAUUGAUUAAUUACCUUAAUCCAUUAUAACUGAUUUUAAAAUUGAUUUUAUCAAUCUAAUGGACUUGACCAAGUCAACUAAGCCAAUAUCAUCGAUUUUAAUUGGGUUUUGCUCGACCCUACUGAAAAAACAUGUCGAUGUCAUUAAAAUUGAUAUAUUUACCUUAUUAUAAAAGAUUAAUUAUAAAAAAGUCAGUCAAUGAUAAAGUCACAUAUAACUCCAAAGACCCCUCAAAAAAUUGAAUGCAUCAACAACAAAUUUAAUGUCCAUAUUUUAUUGUUUCCGAAAAGGUUGAUAAGACUGAAAUUAUAGAAUAAAAUCAUGAGGUCUUAAAUGCAAUUGAAUUAAAUGUGAUCCUAAAAUGUUAGACUUCUUAUCCCACAAAUGUGACAGUGCUUGUCAAGCACUGAAGUUUAACUUAAAUAUUGGUUUGUGUUAAAAUUGAAAUGUUCGUGUCAUCCAAAAAGAUCUUGAAUUCAAUUAAUUGUGAUUGAGAAAUCAUGUCAGAUUGCUUGAAAAUUGGUGAGAAAAUUCUAGGUCUAUGGCAAGUAAUUUCAUGAUGAUGGGGAAAUAAAUAGGCAACAUUUUUCAAUGUUCUUCUUUCAUUGUAUUUGACAAGAAACAUAGAAAAUGACAAAGAAAAUGAAAAUGAAAUAAAGUUAUCAGAUCUCAAGACUCUUUGCUCUUCUUUCAUUGGAUCGGAUCGACAGGCUAGAAAGUAAAGUUCUGGCCUUCGUGCCUUAUGAUGUAGGUUGAUAUUUUGUUCCUUUGAAUUUUCAACACACAAAAGGCAAUAACCAGAAAGGAGCAUAAGAGAAGAGGUGGGACUGGAGGCAAGGAGAUGGUGGAGAGAACUUGUCAAAGCUAAGAAUCUCUAAAAUAUUUCUCAACAUUUUUUUUUUAAUUUCAUGAUUCAUGAAAACAAAUUUAGGUAUUUCUCAACUUGUCAAAUUAGUGCUCAAUCUUUGAAAGGUUGCUCACAUAAGGAUCAAACUUUUCAAAAUGGUCAAGUAAGAGUUUAACCUUUACAGAAGUGCUAAAAUAAGGGUUUUUCAUGCACUUCAACCCAAUUUGUAGAAAAAAUAGGUAAAUACCGAUAUGUUUCGAGUAAAACACAUAGCCUGAUACACAACAAUUGAGAAGCCCUUAAUUGAACAACUUUUAAAAGGUUAGGGCCUUAUUUGUCUAUUUUAAAUUGAAAUAUUUAACUUAUUGCAGAAGACUAACAGUAGAAAAGUAAGUCAAUGCUAAAGUAACAAAUGGAUAAUAUUGGUGAUCAUAUAUUUAUUUCAAAUAUUGGUGACCAAAACUAUAAUUUUAAGAAAACAUAAGUGAUAGAAUUUGUGAUUUUCCAUUUUUUUUUCAUUUUCAAAAAAAAUUUGGUUUUACACUUUUUUUUAUUGCUUUAACAAAUUUAGUUUUAACAUUUUUUUCAUUUUACCUCAAUUUUUUUUAUUGCUAUAGCCCUCAACAGUACCAAAUUAAAAAUCCAAUUUAGCCUUUAUGAAAAAAAGUGCACCAAUUAAGUGCUCAAUGAUUUCAAAAAAAAUUAAUUGACCUCUUCAUUUAACAAAAACUGUAAGUUGAACGAUUUAACCGUUCAUUUAACUAAUGUUACGGACAGAAAUCACCAAAAGUUGUCACAUGAUAGUAUGAUAAUGUGGCAUACCACAUAAAAAAUAAAAAAUACUUUUUAACAAAAAAAUAAUUUAAAAAACAUUUUUAAAUUUUCUUGCAACAACCUUGAGUAACAUCAUCCACAAAAGCUUGAAGGUUCAUAUCCAUAGAACCACCUUUCAUGGCGGCUUCCCUCGCUAACCCUUUCCAUUUCUCAACAUUUUUCUUCACUUCCAUCCCUUUUCUCUUCAUCCCCCAUCACCAAAUCCAAGCACCUAACGAUCUUAUCACGUUAAUUUAUUGAAAGAAUAUUUUAUAAAUUAACUUAUUAUUAAACAUUGAAAAAUAUUUGAAAGAGUAGUCAUGAUAUAAUAUAUUUAUAAUAUUAAAAUAUAAUUUAUGCUUUAAUUAUAAGGAAAAUUUUGAAAGAUGAAUUUAUUAUAAUGUGUAGAUAUAUAAUUAAUGAUUCGGAAUCUUAAUAUAUACAGAAUAUAUAUAAUAUUUUUUUCGGUGAAUAAUUAAAUAUCAUUAAAUCAUUUUGUAAGUUUAUCAUAAUUUUUAUAAAUGAUACAAAAAAUAAUUUAAAGCAUAUUAUUCUAUAAAAAUAUUAAAAUUAAUAAAUCAUAUUAUAAUGAAAGAUGCAAAAUAGAUACAAGAAUAUAAUAUAAGAGGUUACAAUUCUUUGUUGUAGAUAUAUAAUUUACUAGUAAUAUUUUAAAAUAUGUUGUUAGUUCUUGUAUUUCUAUAAUUUCAUUCUUUAUACUUUAAAAGUUAUAAAUUUAAUCCCUUAUUUUUUUAAUUUAAAAAUUUUAAUUAAAUUAUUGUCAUCUUUGAUAUUUUUUGUCAGAACUUGUCAACUUGUUUCUUUUGUGUUAGUCAUAUACCACGACAUACAAGGGAAACCUAAUUAAUAUGUAAAGUUGACAAAUUUUGACAAAAAAAAAUUAACGAUAGGACUAAGAUUUUUAAAUAAAAACAAGAAGACUUAAUUUUAAAUCUUUUAAGUAUAAGGACUAAAUCUCAAAUUUUAUCAAAGUAUAAGGACAAAUAGAUUAUUUCAACCUUAUUUUGUUUAAAAAGUUUUUUACAUUUAUUAGAUCAAAAUAUUUUGUUAGUGCUUGUACCUUGACAACAUUUAAAAUUUAAUCCUUGUACUUAAAAAGUUAAAAAUUAAGUGUUCUUACUUUUCUAGUUUAAAAAACUUAGUCUUACCAUUAGGAUUGUAAGUAUUUUCUAUUAAAAUAUGUAAACUUGGAUAUAUGCUGAGUAGACUGCUUUCAUAUAAUGUUGCAUAUGAUUGAUUAUAACACCCCAAACCCAGCCUAGACGUUAUGGCCGAAUAUGGCGAUGUCACAUGGAAUGGGAUUUGAAGACAAGAUUGUCGAGUUAAAACCGUUACAGUUAGUUAACUUUUAUUUAAUUCGGAAAAAAAUAAGUACUAGUUGAUUUGCUUUAAAACUUGUCUCUUAGCAUAAGCUUUUGUAACCAAUUAAUUUAGGGAAAAUCGUUUAUCAUUUACGAAAACCUUAGUUUUUAGAAAAACCGUGUUUUGUUGAGUUGCAGUUUUAAAAAAAUUCUAUAAAAAAUAGUAUAAAGUCUCAAAUUUAAAGCCAACCAGUCCGUAGUCCAAAAGUUACAUCAAAAACCCCAAAUAAGUAAUAAUUUCUAGACAUUAACGGAAAAUAGUCUAAAAUUUACGUGUGGCCACCGUCGAGUCCUCCGCUACACCGACCCGUCAAGUCUGGGGAUUACUUGUGCACAUUAAACAAAAAGAGUGAGUUUACAUAAACUCAGUGUGUAAUCCCACAAAAACAAACAAACAAUUAGUAUUCAUAGUGCACAGUUGAACAAUCUUGGGCCUAAACCCUUUUCAGUAUCAGUGACACUUUAGGCCUUAGCCCAUCUCAAUACAGUGUCAAAAAUGCAGUAGGGCCUUAGGCCAUCAUAGUAAAUUCACUUUAUUUAGAAAAAAGAUAUCUCCAAAUUAAUUUGAUCAAUGGUUCACCGCCUUGGAGGCCUGUGUCCAAUGAAAGUAUAUUUUAUAAAUUAACUUAUUAUUAAACAUUAAAAAGAUAUAUGAAAGAAUACUUUUUUAUUAAUUUUGUUUUAAGUCACCAAAAUCUAUAUUGAACAAAUCAAAUUUAGUGACAAAAUUAAAUAAAAUUUUAAGUUUACUUUCAAAGUUAAAUAUGAGUUAAAUGGUAAAUUUACUUAUAUUUUCAAAGUGUAAUGAUAAUGAAGUAUUGAUGGAUGUUAAUUAAGUUUUGAUUGAUAAAUGACUAAAUGUAAUUAAAUAUAUUAUAAGUUAGAAUAUUAUUGUUUGAUAAAUCACUUUCACAUUUUCUUUUGAAGGUUUCAUUACUUGACACUUUACUUUAGAUGCUACUUAAUUUUCCUUUUCUACGUAGAAAAAGGAUGAUUGAAGGAGAUUUCAAAGUUAUCAAUAUGUUGUUAGUCUCUUUUAGAUUCAUUCUAAUCACUCAUAUUAUUUUGUGGUUAAAAUAUGUUGUUAGUCCUUUUUUUCCUAUAAAAAUUUGAUAUCCAUUCCUUAUACGUUAAAGGUUAUUAAUUCAAUUUAAAAAUUUUAAUCCAAUUAUUAUCAUCUUUGAUAUUUUUUCUCAGAAUUUGUCAACUUGCUUAUUUUGUGUUUGUCAUAUACCACGACAUAUAAGGGAAACCUAAUUAAUUUGUAAAGUUGAUAAAUUUUGACAAAAAAAAUUAACGAUAGGACUAAGAUUUUGAAAUAAAAACAAGAAGACUUAAUUUUUAACCUUUUAAAUAUAGAGACUAAAUCUCAAAUUUUAUCAAAGUACAAGGACAAAUAGAUUAUUUCAACCUUAUUUUUUUAAAAAGUUUUUUACCUUUAUUAGAUCAAAAUAUUUUGUUAGUGCUUGUACUUUGACAACAUUUAAAAUUUAAUCCUUGUACUUAAAAAGUUAAAAAUUAAGUCUUCUUCCUUUUGUAGUUUAAAAAACUUAGUCCUACCAUUUGGAUUGUAAGUAUUUUCUAUUCAAAUCUGUUACAACUGCCCCUCUUUGCUCAUUGUCGUGUAAUGGGAAUGGAGCAAAGACUUUAAAAAUGGUCAAUUUUGUCUGGUCUUGAGGAAUCUCGACCUUUUUGGUGCUCCUCUUUUUCAAGUAGCUUCAUUCUAACCCACUACAACUUCAGAGGUAUAAGAUCUGUUACUUCAAUCUACUCCACUGCAACUUCGAGGAGAUUAGACUUGUAGCUUUAAUAUGCUCCACUGUAACUUUAGGGCGAUAAGACUCAUAUCUUCAAUCUACUCCACUGCAACUUUAGGGAGAUAAGAUUUGUAACUUUAAUCAACUCCACUGUAACUUCAGAGAAAUAAGAUUUGUGGUUUUAAUCUACUCUACUGUAACUUUAGGGAGAUAAGAUUUAUGGUUUUAAUUUGAUCUACUACAACUUCAGAGGGAUAAGAUUUGUUAUCUUCAAUCUGCUCCACUGCAACUUCAGGGAGAUAAGAUUUGUAACCUGAUUUAAUCCGACCCACUGUAACUUCAGAGGUAUAGGAUUUGUCUUUAAUCUACUCCACUGCAACUUUAGGGAAAUAAGAUUUGUUAUCUUUAACCGACUCCACUGCAACUUCAGGGAGAUAAGGUUUGUAGCUUUAAUCUGCUCUACUGCAACUUUAGAGAGAUAAGAUUUUCUAUCUUCAAUCUGCUGCACUGCAACUUCAGGGAGAUAAAUUUUGUGCCUUUAUUCUGCUCCACUGCAACUUCAGGGAGAUAAGAUUUGCCACGAUAACUUCAAUCUGUCCCACUGCAACUUCAGGGGUAUAGGAUUUGUGGUUUCACUGAUCUGUUACACUGUUCUUUGUGGAACAUGACCUGUAGAAUCCAUUUUAUGGGCCUAUAUCUGUGCCAAGCGAUUAGGAUGUUAUGAUCAGAAUGAAUCAGAUGCUCCUAACUAGAUGUGUAUGAAUGAUAUUUGCAUGAAUGCAGAAUGUCAUUUUUCGAGAAUGAUCCCCUUUUAAUGCUUAGGUUGACAUUGCUCGUUAUUCAUCAAGGUUCUAUCAUUGACACAUUACCCUGCCUUCUUGCUCAGCUAGUAUUUUUGACAGGAAACUCGAAGAAAUAAUCACAAUUUAAACUAUUUGUUCCCAAACAUUUCUAGCUCUUAGAUUUGGUUAGUUAUGUCCAAUGGUUCUGUUUCAGGUCCUUGUACUAUUUAGAAACCCUUUCAAAGCAAUAUGCAAAAAUCCUUUUACUUGAAUAUUAUUUUACUUGAAUAUUAUUUGUCUAUUAAUCGUUAUUUCAAUGAAAAAUGCUUUAAAAAUAUUGUAACAAUGGACAAGAUUGAAAAAUGCUUUUAAUCGUUUUUGAAACAAUGAUAUAAGAAAAUCCUAAAUGCAUUUGGAUUAAGCGAGAUGAAGAAAUGUUGAAAUUGUUUUUCUCCAAUAGAGACCCACAAUUGUGGAAAACUGUGCCAAUACUCAAAAAGUAUAAUCACAAUUCUACAAGACAUGCAUGUCUUAAAAUUUACAUCAAUAUGUUAAAUUAAGAAUAUUAAAUAAAUAAAUUAUUUAUCAUAUUGUUAUCAUUAAUCUUGAGUUGGUGUCGAGUUAAUUUUUGACACCAACUCAAUCAACAAUAAAAAUAUUCACGAUGUGGGUGAACAAAUAUAUUUUAUAUGUAAAAAAUAUAUGUAAAAAAAUAAGUAAAAAUAUAUUAUUUUUAAACACAUCUUUGUAUUCUAAAUUUGUUGUUUUCAUACACAUAGGUGUGUGAUAGGAUUUGUAGUCAAUAUUUAAGAGAUUUAUUGAGUUGGUGUUACUUUGGUCACCAACUUAAUAAUGUAUUUAUCAAAAGACCCUCAAUUAGGGAGAUGGGCUUGACCGAGCCAACUCAACCUAUAUCAGCUGUUUCUAUUGAGUUUUGCUUGACCCAAAGACCUGUCAAUGUUGUUAAAAUUGAAAUAUUUAACUUGUUGGAGAAGACUAACAGUAGAAAAGUAAGUCAAUGCUAAAGUGAUAUGUCGACGUUUUUGUUUUUUUGUAUUUUUUUUUUAGUGGUAGACGUUUUGUUGUUUUCAAAAUAGUUGAUAAGCCUGGAAUUAUAAAAGAUAAUCAUGAGGUCUUAAAUGCAAUUAUGAUAUUUCUAAAAAGAUAUUUCUCAACAAUUUUUUAAAUUUCUUAAUUGAUGAAAAUAAAUUUAGGUAUUUCCCAAUUUGUAAAAACAUGAUUUUCUUUCUUUUUUUUUUUUUGAAUUUCUAGGUUUUUCUUAGCUUUUUUAUAUUAUUUUGGAAUUUUUGUAAUCUUUUUAUAAUUUAUUAAAAAAUAAUAUAUUUGUAAAAUUUUCUAAACCAAUGAAGGAGAAUGUGAUAAAAUAAGGGGUAAAUGUGUAUUUAAGCCAAAGAAAAUAAAAGAAUAAUAAUGAAAUUCACCUAAAAACAAUUAGAAAGACUAGAUGAACAAUUUGACCUAAAACUUUGUUUGAAAUGAUGUCAUUAAUGUGUUACAUCCUUUCUUAGAGAGAUAAAGAUUAAAUGAAUUUAAGAUACGAUGAAACUUGUAUCUCUUUUCAAUAAUUUAACAUUAUUUCAAUAUUUUCAUCUUGAAAAAGAUCAAACUGAAAAUGAUAUGUCAAAUUUUUUAAAUGAAAAUGUUGAAUAAAAAAAAUACAAGUUUGACGGUAUCCCAAUGUCAUUUAAUCCUUUCUUGCGUAGGGGUAUAACUUUAAGGUGAGUUAUUACAAAGUAACAAAUGGAUAAUAUUAGUGACCAUAUAUUUACUUCAAAAGAUUGGUGACCAAAACUAUAAUUUUAAGCAAACUGUUAUAUUAGUGCACCAAUUGAGUACUUAAUGAUUCCAAAAAAAAUCAAUUCACCUUUUCAUUUAACAAAAACUAUGAGUUGAACGAUUUAACCGUUGAUUUAACUAAUGUUACGGACAGAAAUUACCAAAAGUUGUCACAUGAUAAUAUGAUAAUGUGGCAUGCCACAUAAAAAAAUAAAAAAUAUUUUUAACAAAAAAAUAAUUAAAAAAACAUUUUUAAAUUUACUUGCAACAACCUCGAGUGGGGUGAGCAAAACUCGAUUCGACUCGAAAAAAUAAAAAAAAUCAAAUUUUGAGUUAAACGAAUCGAGUUAUUCGAGUUAAUCGAGUUAUUCGAAUCAACUCAAAUUUUUUUCAAAUUUCGAGUUCGAACCGAGUUGAGUUUUCAAAUUCAAAUAACUCGAAUAAUUCAAAUAAUUCGAAUAUCAAACUAUAAUAUUUUAUAUUUUUACCCCAAACUCCCAAACCUUUUUACUUUUCCCUCAAAAUUCUUUUACUCCUUCCCACUUUCCCCCCAAAACUUUUACUCCUCUCCUCUCCCAAACCCCCAAUCUACCCAAAAUCCAUUUCCCACCAGAAUUUUAUUCUCCCAUUUACUUUUUCUCAAAAUUUUACUCCCAAAAACCCUCAAAAACUUUUUAUUUUCCCCCAAAAUUUUUACUCCCUCCCACUUUUCCCCUAAGACUUUUAAAAUAAUUUUUAUUAAAAAAAUCACAUUUUUACAUUUAAUAUAUUUUUUAAUUCCAAAAUACAUAGUGACAAGAAUCUGAAGAUAAUUGAAACAACUAAGCAAGCAAAGAAGCUAAUCAGUAUAUACAAUAUUAAUAAAUAAAUUAUGAGGUAAUGAAAGUUAAUAAAAAAUUUUGAUUAAGGUGGACAAAUUUUAUUACGAUGGGUGACAGUGGUUACAAUGACCCAAAAUUAUUUUUUAAAAUUUAACUCGAACAAAUAUAUUUGAUUCGAUUCGAAUUUCAUCUCACCCAACUCGAUUCGAGAAAAUUUCAAAUCAAAUUAGGAUGAUAAAAUAUGAUUCGUCAACUUGAUUAACUCGAAAUUUUUUUAUUCGAUUCGAUCGAACGCUCACCCCUACCUUGAGUAACAUCGUCCACAAAAGCUUGAAGGUUCAUGUCCAUAUAUCCACCUUUCUUGGCGGCUUCCCUCGCUAACCCUUUCCAUUUCUCAACAUUUUCCUUCACUUCCAUCCCUUUUCUCUUCAUCCCCCGUCACCAAAGUCAAGCACCUAACUAUCUCAUCACGUUAAUUUAUUGAAAGAAUAUUUUAUAAAUUAACUUAUUAUUAAACAUUAAAAAAUAUUUGAAAGAAUAUUCAUGAUCCUCUGCAUAACUACUUUUACUUGUGAGAGAAAAAAAUGUCUAAUAUUGAAAGAGCCCAUCAAUAAGAAUAUGUUUCUCUCUUUUUGUUUUUUCCUUAUAUUAUUUAUAAAUCCAUUUUUUUAAUAUCAUAAAAAUUGGUAUAAUUAAUUAUCAAUAACCUUUUACUAACCCUUGAACUAGAGGAUAAAACACAUUUGAGCACGAUUAAACUCAAAUUUUCCUACACUGACAAUAACACCAAUACUAACACAACAAAAACUCAGUCAACCAUAUAUUUUUAUUUUUAAAUAUAAUAAAACAUGUACAUCUAGAAUAAAUCUAGUGUAUAUAAAUAUAAUAGUGUACCGGGUUGCGUGGCAAAUUUUGUUAAUUUAAGUUUAGACAUGGAUUGUUGGUUUGAUAAUAGGUGUGUUUUUAUUUUUGUAUUUUUUAUGUCCGUUUUCAUCGACGAUAUUUGUGGAAUUGAACUGCAAUUGGAAAAAAUAAUUUUUAAGAUAUUUUUUAUACACUAAAUGUUAACUCUAUUACAAUUUAUACGUAUUUAAUUUUUUUGGGUUGAACAUAAGCUUAGAAAAUUAAGCGCUCAUCAGUCCAAAUGAAAAUGAUCAUCAGUCACCAGUAACUGUCUAAUAUCUUCUUUAAGCUAGAAUCUCACAUAAUAAGGAGGAUCUUCCAAGAUAACCAGUUGCUCAAUUACGCCUCCAUCUGCCUUAGCUAUGCAAUCAACAACUUUACUGGCAUUCCACUGAAUAUGUCGAAAUUUGACUUCCCAAUUUUUGGAACACCAAUCGUGAAUCUGUCUUACUUCAGCAGCAUUACUUAUUGUAGCCAACCCGUUACAAAUAGUUUCAAUCAACAUUUUGUUGUCACUUUCCAUCUCAACACAUCUGAAUCUUAUUUUCAGUCUUUCAAGAAUAGCUCUGGCUUCAAUCUAGGAGAUAUCAUUCAUACCUAAUACAGAGAUUAAAAUAAUAAAAAAGACUAAUUUAAUCCAUUUCCUAUAAUAAAAAUAUAUCCCAAAUAAUUUAAAAGUGAAUUUUAUGUUUGGGUUUUUGAUGUGUGAAAUAUUGAUAGAUUCUAAUUAAGUUUUGGAUUGAUAAACUAAUAAAUGUAAUUAAAUAUAUUAUAAGAUACAAAAUUAUUGUUUGAAUCUCCAUAAGUCGGUUUAGGUCAGUUUCGUUCGGUGACUUGCCUCUAAGUCUUCUCACGUCUACAUUAAUUCACAUUUUCUUUUGAAUUUCUAUGUAGAAAAAGGAUGUAUGGAAAGGGAAUUAUCAAAACAGGAUUACGAUAGUGUUGAAAAUAAUGAUAUGUUAGGAAAAAAUAUAAAAAAAGGUGUAUAUAAUUAGUAAAUAUAUAAAUUUUGUAGCGUUACUAUAAUUUUAAAAUAUAUUAUUGUUAAAAAAUUUUAAAUUUCAUAUAAAAUUUCAAACAUAUUUUUAUUGAUUUUUUUAGAGAAAAAUAUAUUUUGUUGAUUGUUUUAAGGCUUACAAAUUUUUAAAUAGUUUUAAAUAUUUUAUGAAGUAUUUAAUUUUUAAAAAUAUAUCUUUUUAAAAGGGAAAUUCAUUAAUUCAUUUAAUGAGUAAGAUCAUACAAUUUGAAGGGAGAAAAAUAGCAAACAUGUUGUGCGCGUUGAAGGACAAGCUCUAUCAAUAUAACAAAAACUUCAGUUUCAGCAUCAAUAGAUCAUUAUGGCACGUUGAUGAUCAGCUCUGUCAGAACUCAAGCAUAAUAUAUUAAGAAUGAUUGCUAAUACUUAAUAUAAUAAGGAAAUCAGCAAUAGAUGGUCCAAAGCACUUGGAUAUAUGUUGAGUAGACUGCCUUCAUAUAAUGUGCAUAUGAUUGAUAAUAAAAAACCUAUUAAGUUGAAAUUUUUUAAUGGGAUUAAAAAUGAUUGGACUAGAAUUUUUAAAUUAGAAAAGUAGGAGGAUUGGAUUUUUUUACUUUAAAUUACAGGGACUAAUAGCAUAUUUUAAACAAUUUAUUAUUCUGAAAAUAAAAGAAUAUAUAGUAAUUAAUAAAAUAUAUUUUUUAAGUUUUUUUAGUGGAUUAUGUGGAGUAAUGUGAAGAAAAUUUAGGACAAAUUUUGAAAAUUUGCUUCUUUGUACGUAUUUUUUAAAGAAGACUUGACAUUUAUUUUGAAACUUCUUCAAAACUUUGCUUUCCUUUUAAUUUUAGGGUAGUCUUAAAAAUCAAGUUUAUCAAGUGUGCGAGGGUUGAAACAUAUUAAAGCAUGCUCUUUGGGCUUUUCUUCAUCAUCCAAACUAUUUUAUCAACUCAACUUCCCUUUUCCUACUUUUUUUUUUAUUUUCUUGGCUUAUUCCAUCUUGCAAUCAUGAACUACAAGACUUGCUUUCAUCUUCUUUUAGCUUUAUUCAUACCAUGUUCCGUACUUUGCUUGGCUAUGACAGUCAGGAAUCUCAACUCCGAUUAGUUUGCACUUCUCGAGUUUAAGGAUCGCAUUGCCGGUCCUCAAAAUGUCUUGGCAAACAAUUGGACGGCCUCAACCGCUGUUUGCAAUUGGAUUGGUGUUUCUUGUGGCAUCCUCCAUAAAAGAGUUAUAGCUUUGAAUCUUACAAGCAUGAAUCUUAGGGGUACUAUCCCUCCACACCUUGGAAAUCUUUCAUUUCUACUCUCUCUCGACUUGAGUAGCAACCAUUUCUAUGGCCAUCUCCCUAAAGAAUUGGGCCAAUUGCAUCGUUUGAGGAUCCUUCAAUUAAGCUACAACCGUCUUAAUCGGGAAAUUCCGUCAUGGCUUGGGAACUUACAGAGAGUUCGAAGGCUGAAAAUGAAAAAUAAUAACUUUACAGGCACAAUCCCUGAAACACUUGUUAACAUGUCUAAUCUAGAGAUCUUGAACUUGGGAUUCAAUCAAUUAUCAGGUCAGGUUCCAUCUUCCAUCUUCAAGAUUUCUUCUCUGAAGAUUAUUAUUCUCUCCAGUAAUAGCCUAUCAGGUGGUUUGCCUAGUGAUAUGUGUCAACAUCUUCCCAAGCUUGAAGUGCUUUACUUGUAUAGCAAUGAGUUAUCUGGUAACAUUUCGUCAAGUAUGGGCAAAUGCAGCAGCCUUAAAAAUUUGUCGUUGUCCAAUAAUCAAUUGACAAGGAUCAUUCCAAAAAGUAUUAGAAAUCUGACACGACUCCAGGAAUUAUAUUUGGGGUUUAAUAAUCUAGAAGGUAAUCAAUAUCCUUGAUUUCUUGAAUUUAAAGAAUUUUUUAUUAAAGUGUUUAAUUUGUAAUAGAUAACAAAAGGAAUAACGUUUUAUUUCAUUCGAGGCAAAAUAGAUAAUUUGAUGAAAACAUAUGCUGAAAAACAUUGGUUUUUCGACUGUCUGCAGGUCAAAUUCCUAAGGAAAUUGGUAAUCUUCUUAGUCUGGAAAUGCUUAAUAUUCAAGCAAUUAAAGGCCUUACAGGUCAGAUUCCAACUUCGAUCUUCAACAUUUCUUCUCUGAAGACCAUUGAUCUCUCCAACAAUAGCCUAUCAGGUAGUUUGCCUAAUGAUAUGUGUCAACAUCUUCCCAAGCUUGAAGGGCUUUACCUGGGUUUGAAUGAAUUAUCUGGUAACGUUCCAUCAAGUAUGGGCAAAUGCAGCAACCUUAAAAUUUUGUGGUUGUCCUCUAAUCAAUUGAUGGGGAUCAUUCCAAAAAGUAUUGGAAAUCUGACACGACUCAAAGAAUUAUAUUUGGGGCUGAAUAACCUAGAAGGUAUUAAAUUUUCUUGGUUUUUGAGUUUAAAGUAUUUUUUUAAUAAAAGAGUUUGAUUAGUAAUAGAUAACAAAAGUAAGAGCAUUUUAUUUCAUUCAAGGCAAAAUAGUUCAAAAUAGUUAAUUUGAUGAAAACAAAUAUGCUUAAAAUAUUAAAAUCUAACAUUUGCAAAUUAUGUAAAACAAAAAAUAAAACCUCUUUGACUUAUGCUAACAAAAUAGGUAGUUUGACACCUUGAUUUUUCGACUAUGUGUGCAGGCCAAAUUCCUGAGGAAAUCGGUAAUCUUCUUGGUUUGGAAAUGCUUAAUAUUCAAGAAAUUAAAGGCCUUACAGGUCAGAUUCCAACUUCGAUCUUCAACAUUUCUUCUCUAAAGACCAUUGAUCUCUCCAACAAUAGCCUAUCAGGUAGUUUGCCUAAUGAUAUGUGUCAACAUCUUCCCAAGCUUGAAGGGCUUUACCUGGGUUUGAAUGAAUUAUCUGGUAACGUUCCAUCAAGUAUGGGCAAAUGCAGCAACCUUAAAAUUUUGUGGUUGUCCUCUAUCAAUUGAUGGGGAUCAUUCCAAAAAGUAUUGGAAACCUGACACGACUCAAAGAAUUAUAUUUGGGGUUGAAUAACCUAGAAGGUAUUAAAUUUUAUUGGUUUCUGAGUUUAAAGUAUUUUUUUAAUAAAAGAGUUUGAUUAGUAAUAGAUAACAAAAGUAAGAGCAUUUUAUUUCAUUCAAGGAAAAAUAGUUCAAAAUAGUUAAUUUGAUGAAAACAAAUAUGCUUAAAAUAUUAAAAUCUAACAUUUGCAAAUUAUGUAAAACAAAAAAGAAAACCUCUUUGACUUAUGCUAACAAAAUAGGUAGUUUGACACCUUGAUUUUUCGACUAUGUGUGCAGGCCAAAUUCCUGAGGAAAUCGGUAAUCUUCUUGGUUUAGAAAUGCUUAAUAUUAAAGCAAUUAAAGGCCUUACAGGUCCGAUUCCAACUUCGAUCUUCAACAUUUCUUCUCUAAAGACCAUUGAUCUCUCCAACAAUAGCCUAUCAGGUAGUUUGCCUAAUGAUAUGUGUCAACAUCUUCCCAAGCUUGAAGGGCUUUACCUGGGUUUGAAUGAAUUAUUUGGUAACAUUCCAUCAAGUAUGGGCAAAUGUUGCAACCUUAAAAUUUUGUGGUUGUCCUCUAAUCAAUUGAUGGGGAUCAUUCCAAAAAGUAUUGGAAAUCUGACACGACUCAAAGAAUUAUAUUUGGGGCUGAAUAACCUAGAAGGUAUUAAAUUUUCUUGGUUUUUGAGUUUAAAGUAUUUUUUUUAUAAAAGAGUUUGAUUAGUAAUAGAUAAUAAAGUAAGAGCAGUUUAUUUCAUUCAAGGCAAAAUAGUUCAAAAUAGUUAAUUUGAUGAAAACAAAUAUGCUUAAAAAUAUUAAAAUCUAACAUCUGCAAAUUAUGUAAAACAAAAAAGAAAACCUCUUUGACUUAUGAUAACAAAAUAGGUAGUUUGACACCUUGAUUUUUCGACUAUGUGUGCAGGCCAAAUUCCUGAGGAAAUCGGUAAUCUUCUUGGUUUAGAAAUGCUUAAUAUUAAAGCAAUUAAAGGCCUUACAGGUCCGAUUCCAACUUCGAUCUUCAACAUUUCUUCUCUGAAGGCCAUUGAUCUCUCCAGCAAUAGCCUAUUAGGUAGUUUGCCUAAUGAUAUGUGUCAACAUCUUCCCAAACUUGAAGUGCUUUACUUAGAAGAUAUUGAAUUUUCUUCGUUUCUUUAAUUGAACAGUUUAGAAGGCAUGUUUUUCACUUCAAUUUUUGACUAUGUGUGCAGGUCAGAUUCCAUCAAGAAUUUUUAAUUCAACUACGCUCGAAGAAAUAUAUCUAUUUAACAACAAAUUAGAAGGUAUGUUUUUCACUUUAAUUUUUUCCUAACUCCAAAAACAUUGUGUUCAAUUUGUUUCUUCUAUUUAUGUCAUAUAAUUUUAUCAUUUUAAUCUAAUAAUAAACAAUAAAUUAUUUGAGGGUACUUUAGUUUUUUAAUAUCAGUUAUAUUAUUUGAGGGUACUUUAGUUUUUUAUUUUAAAAAAUUAUGGUGAUAUAUAUUUGAAUCCACAUCAAUACAUAAAACCAUAAAUUUAUCACAUAAUUUUAUGAUGUCACAAAUUAACUCGACACCAACUUAGGAAUUGACAACAACAUCAUCAUAAAUAACUGUAUUCAUUUAGUAUUCUUAAUUUGAUGUAUUCAUAUGUUUAAAUUAUGCUUUACUUACAGUUUAAUCUAUUUUUAUUUUAAUAUGGUAGAUAUGCCAUGUGUUAUUAUUAAAUAGUUUCAAAUUAUGCAUUUCAUUAUUUAUCAUAAGUUAUUUUAAAACACAAAUUUAUGUUCUAAAUAUGUGGUUCUCAUACACGUAUGUGUAUCAUAAAGUUUCUAAUUAUAAUUUAAGUAUAAAGUAAUUCAAUAUAAAUUUUAAAUUUUUAUUAUGUGUUUUUUAAAAUAAUUUUUUAAUAGAAUCAAAAUUGUUAUUUAUAAGGAUGCUAAAUUUUCUUAUGAAGUGAAUUUAUUUAACCAAAUAUUUUAGUAAAACCAAAAUUCUUAUCCAUACAUAUGAUAAAUCUUAAAAGUAAUAAAAAAUAUUUAAAAUAAUAAAUUCAAUAAUAUGGUAAACAACAAAGAUUAUAUAAUUAUCAGUUCAAAAGUUUCUCAAAAUCCAUACAUUUAUUUAUAUAUAUAUAUAUAUAUAUAUAUAUAUAUAUAUUUAAUGGCUUAAUGCACAGUUUAUUCCCUAGAGCAUAUUGCUUCUUCUCUUUUUCUUAACUUUGGUCCUUAAUGUAUUGUUGCCCACUUUAGUACCUAAUAUUAUCAAACAUUUCUAGUGUAGUCUCUAACAUUAUCAGGUGUUGUUGGUUUAGUCCAUUGGACGUUAAAAAAUUUAACUAACCAUAAAUUGUCAUGUGGCAUAUGAUGACAUCAUGAUGGCAUCAUCAUCUAGAAAAAAACCAAAACAAUCUUUAAAAUUUCAAAUAAAAUUAUAAAAAAUAACUACAUUAUAAAUAUAUAAUUGUUUUAAAAAAUAAAAUUUUUAAAUUUUUAAUAAAUAAUAAAAUUAUUAAAAAUUGUUAGAAAUUUUUAAAUAUUGUAAAAAAUUAUUAAAAAUUAUUAGAAAUUAUAAAAGACGAUAAAAAUUAAAAAAAGAGAGUUAAAAACUAGUAAAAAUUGCGUAACUUGAAAUAAAGUAUAUAUUCGCUAAUAUUUUUAAAAAUAAAAAUAAAAAUUUGAUAUUAAAAUUGUAUAUUAUGGGGCAAUCAAUUUUUAUAAAAAAAUAUUUUAAUAAAUUUUUAAUAUAUUAAAAUAUAUCAAAAUUUAGUACUUUACCAACUUCCCAAUUCAUAAAUAGGAGAAUAACGCAAUUCAGCAUACUUGAACCCACAUUCUCCUACAUUGGUAACAAUGCACAUGCCAGUCAGGCUAAGACUCAAUCGACAAUUCUUUAGAAUAAUUAAACAUGCAACAAUAGUUCUUAAAAUAUUAGUCUAGACACAAAUAAUUUAUCUUGAAAUAGUAAAACAAUAUUUAGAAUAAUUAAAAACAUAAAUAUCAAGUUUAUUUUAUUUUUCAAAAUGCCAUACUAACACAAAAACUUUUUAACAGUUUUAAUAAAUGAACCUAAAAUUUUAAAUUCAAAAAAUAGAGAGACUAAAUCACAGAAAAUAAAAAAAUAUAAAGAUUAAAUUUCAAAUAUAUGAAAAAUACAAAAAUUUUGAGCAAAUAAUAAUCUUUAAAUUUUACAGUAUAAUUUAAUAAAAAUAAAUAAUUAACCCAAUAGAUAAAAAUCAUACACAUUCUCAUGCCAAACUUUUAUUUUUAUUUUAUUUCAAGUUUUACAAUAUUUUAAAAAAUUAUUAGUGUAUUAUAUGUUUUGUCUAUACAAAUCACAAGGACUAAUUACUACUCAAAACUUCUUAUUAUGUCUCAACCUUCUAAUUGAUUUCAUCACAUUUUUCCAUGCCAAAAUUUUAUUCUUAAUUGAUUUAAAGUUUUACAGUUUUUAUUUUAAUGUAUUAUAUAUUUUGUGAAUUUGGUAUUCAAUGAAUAUGUAUACUAAAAGAUGCUAUUUUUCAGGUAAUUUACCACCCAUCACCAAUGCUCCAAAGCUUGAGAUUCUUUUAUUGUGGGGAAAUAAUCUUAGCGGAAACAUCCCAACUCUAUCUCCAAUGCUUCCAUGCUUAAGAUUCUAGCCUUGGGAGAUAACUUAUUCUCUGGCCCCAUCCCUAAAAUGCUUGGUAGCUUAAAACACCUUGAAUUGCUCGAAAUCUUUGACAAUAAUUUGAUCACAGGAUCUGCUACUGAUCAUGAGUGGAGCUUUCUUUCUUCUUUGACGAAUUGCAGGCAUUUGAGAAAUAUAGCGGUUUCACGAAAUCCAUUGAGUGGCGUUCUUCCUACUUAUAUCGGGAACCUUUCAAAAUCCCUUCAAUACUUUUAUGCCUCUAUUUGUGAGCUUCAAGGCAUUAUUCCUAUGGAAAUAGGUAACUUAAACAACCUAUUUCUUUUAGAACUUGGCUAUAAUAAAUUAAGUGGAUUCAUUCCAACAUCAAUAGGAGGACUGCGAAAUCUCCAAAGUCUAGGUCUUUCCUCUAAUAAAUUAGGAGGGCCUAUCUUAGAAAGCCUCUGUGGUUUGGAGAGACUAUACAAGAUGCAUUUAGGGUGGAAUAAGUUGCAUGGAUCCAUACCCUCUUGUUUGGGUAAUAUUACUUCUUUGGGAUAUCUUUACUUAGAUUCCAACAAAUUGAGUUUCGCAAUACCCUCAACUUUGUGGAAUCUUAAAGAUAUCUUAGAAAUAGAUUUAUCAUCAAACCAUCUUCACAAUUCACAUGCUAUUGAUGUUGGAAAUUUGAGGAGUCUACUGAAACUAAAUUUAUCAAGGAAUCUUCUCACGGGCGAUAUCUUAUCCAUAUUUGGGGGUCUUCAAACUUUGGUUUCAUUAGAUUUAUCAAAUAAUAUACUACAUGGUCAUAUCCCUAAAUCAUUUGAUGGGUUGAUUAGUUUGGAAUUCUUGGAUUUAUGCAAUAACAAUCUCUCUGGAGUCAUUCCCAAAUCUUUGGAAAAGCUUUUAUAUCUAAAGUAUUUUAAUGUGUCUUUCAAUAGACUUGAAGGGGAAAUUCCCAGCAAAGGAUAUUUUUCAAACUUUUCUAGCACAUCAUUCAUGAAGAAUUAUGCACUUUGUGGUCCACCUAGAUUGCUAGUCCCACCUUGCAAAAACGACAUCCACAAAAACUCCCAAAUGAUUAUAUUGCAUACUUUUAGGUAUGGUUUACCAACAAUUGGUAUUGUCGUAGUACUAAUAGUCUUAACUAUUAUGUAUAGAAGAUGCCAAAGAAGGAGUACAACUCUACCAAUCAAAGAUGAUUUGUUGUCUUUGAAAACACCGAGAAGAAUUUCACAUGCUGAACUUUCACGAGCAACUAAUGGAUUUGAGGAAAGAAAUAUGCUUGGUUCUGGGAGUUUUGGAUAUGUAUAUAAAGGGAGGCUUUCAGAUGGAAUGGAAGUUGCAAUAAAAGUUUUCAAUUUGCAAACAGAGGGAGCAUUUAGGAGUUUUGACAUUGAAUGUGAUGCUAUGCGUAAUAUAGUUCAUCGUAAUAUUGUGAAGGUCAUUACUUGCUGCUCAAGUGUUGACUUCAAAGCCUUAGUGCUUGAUUACAUGUCUAAUGGAAGCCUUGAGAAAUGCUUACAUGCUGAAAAUUGUUUCCUUGAUAUCAUACAAAGGAUCGACAUAAUGAUAGAUGUUGCGGUAGCUAUAGAACACCUCCACAAUGGACAUCCAACACCUAUAAUUCAUUGUGACAUAAAACCAAGCAAUAUUUUACUAGAUGAAGACAUGGUUGCACAUGUUGGAGAUUUUGGCGUU